rnacentral:lncRNA from 1 species
AAACAAAAUAUGUAGCUUUUCGUCCACCUUCAACAAAUCUUUUUUGUUUUGAAGCAACUUGGCUGCUCCGAGUAGCAUUGCGACAUGAGAAUCAUGACCACAAGCAUGCAUCUUUCCAUUAACUUUGCUCUUGUAAUCCCACUCUACCAAUUCCUUCAAAACAAUAAAAUUGGUUUCAAGGAAUCAGAUUUCAAUUAUAAAUUUAUAAUACCUAGUCAAAAGCACUUCGGACUACUUUUGGUGGAAAAAAAAAAUAAAGUGAUUUUGGAUCAAGCGUGUUUUAGAUAAAGACUUGGAAGUGACUUGGAAGUGAUCUUUAGGCAUCUCUUGAAUUUUUAAUAAAAUUUCAAUAUGUUUAAUAUAAUUAAGACACUUCUAGCAGAAACAGUUAUGAACAGUCCGCAAAUGACACGUAAUGUGGAACUUGAAAAUACACUAAUUGUAAAUACAUGGGCCAAAUUCAAUGAAAUUGAUAAUACAGGCACAGGAGUGGAACUUUGAGCAAACUACAUAGGUUAAAACAAAGUGUUUUAACCGGUGCGUCUCGGGUUCAAGUCUUCUUUUCCCUUGAUGUACAAUUAGUAUACACUAUCGCUAUAAAAAGGUCGUACCCAAUGCACAAGGCUCCCGCUUUACGCAGGGUCUGGAAGAGGUGAAUGUAUACACUAUCGCUAUAAUAAAAAUAAAAAGUGUUUAAGCCCAAUUUCUAGAGAGAGAGAGAGAGAACCUGGAGAGGGAGGGCAUCCAUGUCAGCUCUAAGAGCAAAGACUGGUUUAGAGCCAGAGCCAAUAGAAGCCAUCACCCCAGUCUUGGCAACAGGCCACUUGUACCCCAACUCCCAGCGAGUCGAGCUCGGUCCUGACGAGUUCACUCGUCCUGUGCUCCUGGAAUCCCAGCUCCGGGUACUGGUGGAUCCUCCUCUUCAACCCUCUCAUCCAUUCGAAAAACUCGGGCUCCAUCGCCGAAGCCAGCAGCUCUCGAGUCAGCGACUCUAGCUCUGGUCCAUCUCCGGUAGCACAAGAAUGCUGAUCAAACAGUGUAGCAGCAGCAGCUGAUGACAGUAACAAGGAGGUGAAGAAAGUGAAAAUUUCCAUUGGAAAAAUUUUCUUGUAAAAAAGUUAUUGAAUGCGCUUUUACGAUUCAGAAUUGUUUUUAAGGCUUAAAUUAAACAACUGGUAGCUCACAUUUGUUAAUGUUUUUAUUUAAAUGCGAAGGGCAAGGAAUGUGUGAAUUUUGGGAAGGGUACAAAAUAAUGGAGCAAAAGAGGGGUAACAAACAUCAAUACUGACGAGUUUGUUGUGUCUUGGGAUACUCUACCUCUUAAAUAAGGAAAUGAAUUUCACAUUUACGUUUUUUUUGGUAUGAUCUUUUUCCUUUAUUUGUAUUCUUUGAUUCUUUUUAAAUCUACACGAUUCAACAACUAGAGAAAAAGAAUGAGAUGAGUGGGAAAAUCAUUUUCUGUUUAGAUAAAUAGGAGAUGAGCACUAAGAUAAGUUGAGUGUACAAGUGAUGAAAUUGCUUUGUGGUUUCAUAAUCAUUGGUCAAGAUCAAUAUGCACGCCCAUUAGACAACUAAUCCUAGCAUUUCUCUGGACAUGAUUAGUGGCACAUACAUGUGUGAGUUGAUCCUCGUCACUAGUGGCGGAUCUAGGAUACGAACAUUUGGGGGGUCUAAGUGUUUCUAAUAGAAACUGAGCGGGAAGUACGCAAAAUAAUUUUUUGUUCGAAUACUUGGUGGGCUUGUUGUCGUAAGCGAAACUAUGUAUACACGACCACUCCAAGCAUUUUCUUAGAUAAUAUUUACUUUCAAAAUAAAAUUACAAAGGUUAUGGAUGGAGUACCCUUCAAAUUUCUCUCUCCUCCGGUCUCUUUCUAUUUAAACGGUUACUAUUAAACUACGUUAACUUCUUGUAUUAAUUUUUUUUUUAAGAAAGAGAAAAACAAAGAGAAAAGUGAGGGAUUAUAUUUAGCUUCAAAUAGUAAGGCUAAAAUGCCAAAUCAAAAUAAAAUUACAGAGAUUGAAAUCUUAAACUUCAUGGCAGAUUCUGAUUUACAAGCCCCAAGAGUUAGCCCAAUGACGAAGGUGGCUGAGAAAUGAGUUAGAAUUAAACUAGGUCGAAUGUCUGAUUCUUUUUAGUCGUAACUGUUGUAAAUUGAAAUAGAAAGGAAAGAAGUUACUCGAAAAAAUGUAGAAGCCUUGAGUCGUAAGUGAUUAUUGGGUUGAGUCGCGGACUAAGUCGCUCUCUUUAAGACGUUUCGCGGCUUUGCCCAAAGUGUGCAAGCAGUUUUCAAACACCGUCAUCCCCAGGAUAAAACAGUCCAGAACCUUCUUCUUUUGAUAGGUUCUUCCUUGCACAAUGAAAGAACCUUUGAACUCACACCUUUUCUAUAUGUUGCUUUCAGAACUCAAUUUAAAAAUAAUAAUAAGCUGUUGUUAUUUCUUCUUUUUUCUCCUCUGUGUUUUCUCCAAGUAUUAAAAGAAGACAACGUGUAAGUAGAAGUAGACAUUUCAUCAACAUUUAAUUUAAACAUCCCAUCAGUAGCAUAUCCCUUUCCCACAAAAACCCCAUUUUUAGUGAGAGUAUACUUAUCUGCUCCAAUGGUUUGAGUGAAUCUAGCCUUGUUGAGAAGAAAGCCUGAGACCAGAUUCUUCCUUAUCACUGAAGCGUGCAUCACAUCUUUUAUUAUCAUGGUUUUUCCUGAGGUGAACUUCAACUCCACCUCUCCAGUACCAGCAACAUCAGUUAAGUGCGAAUCAUCCAACAACACCUUCCUUCCCUCAGCCACAUAAUAGGUCUUGAAAAAGGAACGAUCAUAGCAAACAUGGCGAGAAGCACCAGUGUCCACCCACCAUCCCUCGGAUCCAUCAACUACGUUGAUUUCUGUUAUCAUUGCAAUCAGUUGCUCUUCAACAAGAUUUGCCUGAGAAGCAGAGUUUGCCUUAUAAUGCAUGGCGGAUUGAAUACGUCUUAAAAUUGUUGUAAACUGAAAUAGAAAGGAACAAAGUUACCCGAAAAAAUGUAGAAGUCUUGAGUGGUGAGUGAUUCUUGGGUUGAGUCGCGGACUAAGUCGCUCUCUUUAAGAUGUUUCGCGGCUUUGCCCAAAGUAUGCAAGCAGUUUUCAAACACCACGUUGUUCCCAGGAUAAAACAACCCAAAACCUUCUUCUUCUGAUAGGUUCUUCCUUGCACAAUGAAAGAACCUUUGAACUCACACCCUUUCUAUAUGUUGCUUUCAAAACUCAAUUUAAAAAAAUAAUAAGCUGUUUUUUUUUUCUCCUCUGUGUUUUCUUCGAAACAGGGAACAUAUAUAUAUGCAAGACAAUUAAAUAUUCGUUUCAAAUUUUUGAUAUUCAAGGGCUUGAAAAUCUUUAAUAAUAAAAACUGAAGAAACCAAAACUGUCAAAUAAAAAAACGUAUAUAUUCAAAGGUCAAAUAAAAAACGUACAUAUUCAAACCUAACAAAAGGAAUGUACAUGACCUAAUCUUCUUCUCUAUUCUGAGAAGGAAUCCCACUAUAUAUAAAUAUAUAUAUAUAUUUAAUGAUUGUAAUAAACCCAAAUAUAAAUACCACAACGGACAAAAAUAUAGCAAUUAAAAUAUUUAAAUAAAAACAUAUUUACUCCAACAAUCGCCCACUUGUUUUUGUUUAAAAAUCGUAAAUCAAGCAACAUAUUAUAAAGCUGUGCAUAAGUAAAGGUGUUUCUCAACUCGAACCUGUACAUAGUGUUAUUGAUCCAGAUUAUACCAAAGUAACUUAUAGUUUUUAACUCUAUCUCUGACAACACCACACACACAACUUUAUUAAGGUGAAGUUCAAAAAGCUAGCAUAUUACGGCCAUGUGCUUGUAUCCUAGUAUAGUGAACGCUCUAGAAACUUGCCCAAGAUUUCAUAGGAAGUGGCCUUACUUCCACAUUCACAUAGGUAAGACUAUCAAUGAUAUUCCUGGAGCUAGAUAUCCCACUCAACAUAGAGUAUAGACCUUAUUAAGAGAAAAAAAAAUCUCAACCUAAAAACGCUUCAGGAUGUCAUGCUUCUUAGGGAUGGACAUGGAAUAAUAUUUCAAAUUAAAAUUAGCAAGACUUCACUCAUAGCACUUGCGACUUGUUAUUACCCUUUGAACUUAUUUCUUGGGAUCUCCAGUCUAUAGGUUGGGUUGCUAUCACAAAUGACUCAAUUUUCUACGGGCUUUAGUCUCAUACCUUUCGAGGUUUUCCAAACCUUUUCUCGUACUAGUCCUUUUGUCAAAGAAUCAGCUAAGUUUUCUUCAGACCGUAUAUGAUCCACUCUUACAGCUCCUUUAGAGAGGUAAUAUCUUACAGUGUUGUGCUUACGGCGUAUUUGUCGCCUUUUCCCGUUAUAAUAACGGUUUUGCACUUUAGCUAGUGCCGCUGUGCUAUCACAAUGGAUCAAAACUGCUGGAAUCGAUUUCUUCCAUAAAGGGAUAUCUGAUAGUAGGUUUCUCAACCAUCCUGCUUCUUCGCUUGCCAUAGCUAGCGCUAUUAAUUCUGAUUCCAUAGUAGACUGAGCCAAGAUAGUCUGUUUCUUCGACUUCCAUGACACAACCCCGCCACCAAUACUAAAAAUAUAUCCACUAGUGCCUUUAGAGUCAUCUGAAAAGGGUAUUCAAAUCAGCGUCGCUGUAACCUUCUAGGACAACGGGAAACUUCUCAUAGUGUAAUCUGAAAUUCAUUGUUCUUUUAAGGUAUCUCAUAAGCCUCUCUAUAGCAUGCCAAUGCUCCAAACUGGGUCUGCUAGUAAACCUACAUAAAACUCAUACGGCAUAAGAUAUAUCAAGCCUAGUGCAAUCAGUAGCAUAACGAAGACUACCAAUAAUGCUCGCAUACUCAGAUUGUUUAACACUGACACUAGUGUUCUUGAACAAUUUUACACUAGGAUCAUAAGAAGUACAAGCUAGUUUACAAUCAAAAUAAUUAUACUUUCUUAAAAAAAUUUCUAUGUAGUGAGAUUGAUCUAAAGAAAACCCAUGUUUAGACCUAAUUAUUUUCAAAUCAAGUAUUACACUAGCUUCACCCAAGUCUUUCAUAUCAAAAUUAGCACAUAUCAAAGAUUUGACAUUAUUCACAACAUGAAUAUUUGAACAAAAAAUGAGCAAAUCAUCCACAUAUAGGCAUAUUAUAGUGCAUAUAUUAUUUUCAUACUUAUAAUAGAUGCAUUUGUCACUUUCAUUUAUUUUAAAACCAUUCGAAAUAACCAAACUAUCAAAUUUCGCAUGCCAUUGUUUAGGAGCCUGUAUCAAUCCAUAAAGUGACUCAUCUAACUUGCAAACUUUAUUUUCUUGUCCUGGAAUAAUAAAACCCUCUGGUUGAUCCAUAUAUAUUUCUUCCUCUAAUUCACCAUUUAAGAAAGUUGUUUUAACAUCCAUUUGGUGCACAACAAGAUCAUGAAUAGAAGCUAAAGCAAACAAUACACGAAUAAAAGUUAUUCUAGUCACAGUUGAAUAAGUAUCAAAGAAAUCAAUAUUUCUCUUUGCCUAUAGCCUUUGGCAACAAGUCGGGCUUUAAAAUUUUCAACUGAACUAUCAGGUUUUAAUUUUCUUUUAAGAAUCCAUUUGCAACCUAUUGUUUUGCAACCAUGUGGAAGAUCCACCAAAUGCCAAGUUUGAUUUGACUCCAAGGAGUCCAUUUCAUCAUUUAUAGCUUCUUGCCACAAAUAUGCAUCUAAAGAAGUUAAAGCUUCUUGAAUUGUAUUAGGAUCUUCUUGUAAGUUAUAUACAUGAAAAUCAGGCCCAAAAUCUAUAGCUAUUCGAGCUCCUUUACUUUUCCUAGGUUCUAAUGCAGAUUGACUAUGUUCUACAAUAGUAGGUUCAUAAAUUUUAGAAGAAUUAGAACCCCCACUAUUUCGAAGAUUAAAAGGAAAUUUAUUCUCAUAAAAAUCAGCAUCAAGUGACUCAAUUAUGACAUGCUUUUCCAAAUCAUAAAACCUAUAUGCUUUGCUAUUACAUGCAUAACCAAUAAAAACACAUUCAUAUGCUUUACUAGCCAAUUUCGAUAUUUUUGGAUCAAGUUUACGAACAUAAGCUAAACAACCCCAAGUUCUGAAAUACAACACAUUUGGUUUCUUAUUUUUCCAAAUUCUGUAAGGAGAAAUAUUUGUUUUUGAGUUAGAGAUUCUAUUUAACACAUAACAUACAGUCAACACAAUUUCACCCCACCAAUAAGAAGCAGCUCCAGAACUAAGCAAAGUAGCAACAGUCAAUUCACAGAGAGUUCGAUUUUUUCUUUCUGCUUUACCAUUCAUUUCAGGAGAAUAAGGAGCAGUAGUUUCAUGAAUAAUUCCAUGAGACUUAAACAAAUUAACAAAUUCAAUAUAUUCAUAUUCUUGUCCUCUAUCACUACGAAAUCUUUUAAUCUUACGAUUAAAUUGAUUUUCAACUUCAGUCAAGAAAGUUUUGAACAUGUCAAUAGCUUCACUUUUAUUUUUCAUAAGAUAGACAAAACAGUAAUUCAAACAAUCAUCAAUAAAGGUAAUAAAAUAACGUUUUCCAUUUCUAGUUAGCACUCUAUCAAAUUCGCAUAUAUCAGAAUGAAUUAAAUCAAAUGGUUCAGAUUCUCUAUUGACAGAUUUAUGUGAAGUUCUAGUGAUUUUAGCUUGACUACAAUAUUCACAUUUUUCAAAAUCAUUUCAUGAUAAGUUAGGUAAAAAACCUAAGUUACUCAUGUUCUUAACCAAGCGUUUGUUAACAUGACAUAGUCUAGCAUGCCAAGUAUUAAAAGAAGACAACAUGUAAGAUUUCAUCAACAUUUAAUUUAAACAUCCCAUCAAUAGCAUAUCCAUUUCGCACAAAAACCCCAUUUUUAGUGAGAGUAUACGUAUCUGCUCCAAUGGUUUGAGUGAAUCCAGCCUUGUUGAGAAGAAAGCCUGAGACCAGAUUCUUCCUUAUCGCUGGAGCGUGCAUCACAUCUUUUAGUAUCAUGGUUUUUCCUGAGGUGAACUUCAACUCCACCUCUCCAGUACUAGCAACAUCAGUUGAGUGCGAAUCACCCAACAACACUUUCCUUCCCUUAGCCACAAAAUAGGUCUUGAAAAAAGAACGAUCUUAGCAAACAUGACGAGAAGUGUCAGUGUCCACCCAAUAUCCCUCGGAUCCAUCAACUACGUUGAUUUCUGCUAUCAUUGCAAUCAGUUGCUCUUCAACAAGAUUUGCCUGAGAAGCAGAGUUUGCCUUAUAAUGCAUGGCAGGUUGAAUACGUCUUAAAAUUGUUGUAAACUGAAAUAGAAAGGAACGAAGUUAUCCGAGAAAAAUGUAGAAGCCUUGAGUGGUGAGUGAUUCUUGGGUUGAGUCGCGGACUAAGUUAUUCUCUUUAAGACGUUUCGCGGCUCUGUCCAAAGUGUGCAAUCAGUUUUCAAACACCACGUCGUCCCCAGGAUAAAACAGCUUAGAACCUUCUUCUUCUGAUAAGUUCUUCCUUGCAAAAUGAAAGAACCUUUGAACUCACACCUUUUCUAUAUGUUGCUUUCAGAACUCAAUUUAAAGAAAUAAUAAGCUGUUUUUUUUUUUCUCCUCUGUGUUUUCUUCGAAACAUGGAACAUAUAUAUAUGCAAGACAAUUAAAUAUUCGUUUCAAAUUUUUGAUAUUCAAGGGCUUGAAAAUCUUUAAUAAUAAAAACUGAAGAAACCAAAACUACAAAAUAAAAAAACGUACAUAUUCAAAGGUCAAAUAAAAAACGUAAAUAUUCAAACCUAACAAAAGGAAUGUACAGGACCUAAUCUUCUUCUCUAUUCAGAGAAGGAAUCCCACCAUAUAUAUAUAUAUAUAUAUAUUUAAUAAUAGUAAUAAACCCAAAUAUAAAUACCACAACGGACAAAAACAUAGCAAUUAAAAUAUUUAAAUAAAAACAUAUUUACUCCAACAGUAACAAAAUAAAUAAGUUAUUGAUGUACAAGACUUGAGGGUGAGGUGCAAAUCCAUUAGCAAUCAAUGUACACUGAAAUUCUUCUGGCAUACUCGAGUUCUUUUUUGUUUCUGCAUCCAAAAAUUUACAUUGCAGAACUUUGAAGGAAGCAUUUCAAAUUUUUAAUGAGUUCCCAACAUCAUGUGUAUCCAUGUAAGAUAUUGCAACAGCAGCAUUGAGAGCUGCUCCAACAGAAAAAGCCUGUUCGUCUAUGACAAAUAGAGACGAGUGCAAUGGCUGGUCUGAUUUUAGACUCUCAUUCUUUAUCCCGAGAACGAAAAUUGCAGCCGCAAACUUAUGUGAGUAGAAGCUGAAAUCCUCUGCUCCCAUGAUCAAUGGUUGAAGCUCCACAUUAGAUUCCCCGAGUAGAACCUCACCAACCUUCUUUGCGUGCUCAUACAAUGCUUCGUUGUUAAUCAUCACUGGAUAAGGCAGCGGUGUUUCCUCCAUGAAGUCCACUGUACCCUCACAGCGAUGCACGGCUGCUUGCAGUUCUAUGACCUGCAAGUGGAACAUAACUGUAAGAGAAGCUAUACAAGCAAUCCACUCAGUUUGGUAAAAUGAACUAGUUUACCUAGUCCUUCUACAGUAUGUGAUGCACCGAUUUAAUGAACGGCUAGAUUGGAAUGUUUUUAAUCAAGUAAACCAAAUCCAACCAUCCGCUGAAGCACAUAAUCUCAUAAACCGGUGCAUUGUAGAAUUUUAGCAAUUUUACCUCUUUGAUCCUUUCUUGGAUAUGGCUGAGUCCUUCCAUUGUCAAGCUCCUGAAAGUUCCCCCAAAGUUCACAGACUCGGGGAUCACAUUUCCUGCUUCACCUCCCUUUAAGUACCCAACUGUCACCACCUGUGUAACGGGUUCAACUCAACAUGAAAAUUGAUACACUAAUCAUAUCUAACAAUCUGCGAUUAUAGCAAUUUGAAAGUGAAAUUAAAUGUCUAUCAAACUUAUUCCUUUAUUUUUUUCCCAAAACAAAAAGGCAAGGAGAAAAAUUACCCCGGCCUCAAGAGGAUUUAUCUCUCUUGAAACAAUCUGCUGAAGAGCCACAACAGCUGAUGCUGCUGCAAGAAUCGAGUCCUUACUCUUAUGUGGAGCAGCUGCAUGCCCACCUUUUCCUUUGAUUGUUGCUGAAAAAAGGCCAGCGCCGGCUAGCAUUGGACCUGGCCGUGAAGCAAUGACACCCGUUGGCAGUGAUGGCAUAACAUGUAUGAAGAAGAUGGCAUCAAUAUCGUUAAGAAUGCCAUGUUGUAACAUAUGGUAAGCUCCGGCAUAACCCUCUUCUCCCGGCUGAAAAACCAGCUUCACAGUUCCCUUUAAAGUUCAAAAGAACCAAAAAGACAUAGAUCAAUUACAAUUUGGGUUUGCCGAAUUAAUAUCUGGUAAGUUACAUUGUUCAACCACAUAUCAAGUUAUCAACGAUAUAUGACAAAUGUACGACAAGUCAAUAUAUAUACCUUUAGAAUGUCUCUUUUACUUUGGAGUAACUUGGCUGCGCCAAGCAACAUUGCCACAUGAGAAUCGUGCCCACAUGCGUGCAUUUUGCCAUCUAUCUUGCUCUUGAACUCCCACUCUACUUGUUCCUUCAAAAUUCAAUGGGUAUAUUUUGAUCAUCAGUGACCAAAAAUAGAACAUUUACCUAGUUUAGCAUUUUCUGGUCAACAACACAGUUCCAUAAUAGCCGAUGAUCAUUUGGUCCAGUAGAACUUACAAUCAAAAUAUCACCUCCCCAAACAGGCCAAGGCAUGUUUACAUGCCAGAAACGGAUUGCAAGUUAAGAGUGUCACUCUCCGUUCUUGGCAUUUGCCUUGUGUUUACUAAUUAACACACAAGGAAUUAAAGAAGGGCUACAUGUUAUCAUUAAGUACAUACUACUUAGUACCUAAAAAAGGUUUGGGAUUAACCAAUGGGGAAAAUUAUGGGGUUCAAGUCCAACCUUGUGGACUAUCUCAUCCCUACGAAUCACACACUAAAAACUUUCUCCACCAAACCGGGGGAGUUAGAUGAAUCAAGUACACCGCAUGGUGAUGUCUCAAUUCAAUGAACACAAUCAUGCAGUGUGAGAUAAAGGUUGUGAUAUGAUACUUUAUUAUUAGACCGAGAUACCAUUCUGACGGAUACUUAAUCCAUCUACGUUCAUCCCGUACCAAUCAACCAUUUAUUAUUCUCAAGACUUCUCUCAAGUAAUUAAACAUGCCCCAAAUUCGUCGAGUUGAAUUCCUCAUAUUAUAUGGAACUCACGUGUACUUUCACUUUGAUUUCGAGUACGGAUUAGUAAACAUGCGGUUAAUUUGUUUUGUUUUGUACUUUUUAACCGAGGAGAUGACAGGUUCAAAUCAUUCGAUUAAAAACAAGGGAAAUUUAAAAAAAAACUUCUGAUACUAUUCAUCUUAACAAAAAAACAUACUUUUAACAUUAAAAAGUUAAUCCUGAUACUAUUCAAUAUACUAUUUAUUUUAUCAUUUUUGUUGAAAUUUAAAAAAUUUUAACAAUUUUUAUUAAUUUUUUUUUUUUUUAAACGAAGGAAAAGAGAGGACCUGAAGAGGGAGAGCGUCCAUGUCAGCCCUGAGAGCAAACACUGGUUUGGAGCCAGAACCAACGGAAGCCACCACACCAGUCUUGGCAACAGGCCACGUGUACUCAAUUCCUAGGGUGUCGAGCUCGGUCCUGAUGAGUUGACUCGUCCUGUGCUCUUCGAACCCAAUCUCUGGGUACUGGUGGAUUCUCCUCCUCACUCCCCUCAUCCACUCAAAGAACUCGGCCUCCUUCGCCGAUGCCAAGAGCUCCCGAGUCAGCAACUCGAGCUCUGUCUCACUAGUUUCCGAAGCCCAAGACUUGCCCAAAAUAGUUGGCAGCAAUAAGUAAAAGAGCAUAAACGCAGCCAUGGUCGGAUGAAAUUUUUUUUUUGGGUUUUUGUUGAAAUUUGAAAGUCAAUCACUCCAGACCAGGGAGCAACAAAAAGGAUAAGCUUUUUCUCCUGAAUUUCUGUAUUUGGCCUGCAAAUUUAUGUUUUGUUGUUUUGGGUUCCAAUAAUUCUUGUUCGAUUUGUUUAAUGACUUAUUUGUGUUUGUUUCUUUAUCACAUCACACCUCCUAGAAAGAUGAUAUAUUAACGCUAAUUUAUUAAUAAGAUAAUUUAAAAUUGUGCUCAAUUAGUUAACGAAAUUUUAAUCAACAUGCCUAUAUUAUUUUUGGGAAAGAGAUCAUCUCCUAAUCUCUUCCACCAUUGCUACCUAAUUAAGUGUUCCGGAUUUUUGAAAUUUGAUCCAACGGCUAAAGUUAUUAUAACUUUUAAAAGGAUUCCUGUUUUUAGCCGUUGAAUCAAAUUUCAAAAGCCUUGAUCACUUGAUUAGGUGACCUUCAUGGAAGAGAUUAGAAGAUGAUCUCUUUCAUUUGUUUGCUCCACCAACUCCAAUUCAAUUAUUUAUCCUUAUUGUCAUUUUUAGUUUAACGACUAUUUCUCUUAAGAUUUGAACUCGAAUCUUCCUCCAAUAGAUAGGAGAGUUUUUAUUUUUUUAUUUUUUUUUAUUUUUUACAACAAGUAAUAUGUUUACUAUAAAUUAUACAAAGGAGUAAGAAGAGGGAGAAAGUUUAAACUCGAAACGAAAUAGAUAGAAGAAUGUUUUAACCACAAAAGCAAUCCAUCACUUACUUUCAUUAACCCUUAACCACUAGAUGCACAAAUGUUAGUUCACCUUGCCAAAUACAACAUUAUGAGUACAUCUUUCAUACAAUUACAUACGAAUAAUGCAGCACGAUUUAUGCACUUUAACUUACUUAUGAUGAACUAUUUUCCUUGUUAUUAUUUUAUGACUCUCAUUUGAUUUAUUCAAUCUAACGAUUACCAAAAAAAAAAAAAAAAAAAAACAAAACAAAACAAAAGAAAUCAUGCAUAAGAGGAAAAAGAAGUGCGGAAAUAAUUUCUCUUGAAUGAUGUAAUUUUCAUUUUUAUAAUAAUGGAUAUAAACAUUUCAAGUUCCAACACGAGUUAUUCACUGUAAAACGAUAUACAUCAAACGCCUCUAUGCGUCACAACAGGAUCAACAUUAUCCGAAUAUGAGAGUGCGACUGCAGCAUGAAAGGCUGCUCCAAUUGGAAGAACCUCCUCAUCAAUCACCAAGAAGGGUGAAUCAAAUUCUCGUUCUUCGUCCCAAUCAUGAAGAAUGCAACAGCCCAUUUUUCGGCAUAGAAGCUAAAGUUCUCUGCUCCCAUAGCCAUUGGAAGUACCUUCAAAUGAGUAUUAUUGAGAAAAUUUGUUGAGUGCUUCCGACACAAUCUGUUGAGUGUUGUUAAGAUAUGUCUAGCAUACAUUAUAUCAAACACUUAGUGGGCACAUAGACACUCAUACCAAACAUUCAAAUGGUAUUCGGAAGACCUUCACAUGUAUAUUUCCAUAAUCCAGGUGGUUUGGUGGUUUGGGACAACUUUGAUUUCAAUGUACUUCCGCCAUUGCUCGUCACUUCUACUUUUGAGUACUACAAGCAUGAAUGACGUAAAUUGACCCACACAUGCAUACACAACCACUCCAAGCAUUUCCUUAGGUAAGAUUUGCUUUCAAAAUACAAUUACAGAGGGUAUAGAUGAAGUAAGAUUUUCUCCCCUCCAAAUUUCUCUCUUUUAAUCUUUUUUUAUUUGUUACAGUUACGAUUAAGUCACGUCAAUAUCUUGUAUUGAUUUUUUUAAGAAAGAGAAAGAUAAAGAGAAAGAUAAAGAGAAAAGUGAGAGAGGAGAGGAAGGGAGACAAUCCUACUUGGGUAUAGAAAUGCCUACUCGUAUUAGCCAAUCUGCGACAACAUUUUCCAAUACCCAUCAAAAUUGCUUUGGUUGAUAUUAUAUAGCUUCAAACAGUUGGUAAAUAAAAAUAAAAUUACAGAGAUUGAAAUCUUAAACUUGAUGGCAGAUUCUGAUUUGCAAGCCCUAAGGGUUUUGCCCAAAUGACGAAAGUGGUGGAGAAAUGAGUUAGAAUUAAAUUAGGUCAAAUAUCCGAUUCUCUUUUUUUAACAAAAUAAGUAAAUUAUUUAUUAGCUAGACUUGAGGGUGAGGUGCAAUUCCAUUAGCAAUCAAUGUACAUUGAGUCUUAGUUCAAUGUAGUUCUUCUGGCAUACUCGAGUUCUUAUUGUUUCUGCAAAUCCAAUAAUUUACAUUGCAGAACUUUGUAGGGAAAGCAUUUCAACUUUUUAAUAAGUUCCCAACAUCAUGGGUAUCCAAGUAAGAUAUUGCAACAGCAGCAUUGAGAGCAGCUCCUACAGAAGAAGCCUGUUCGUCGAUGACAAAUAGAGACGAGUGUAAUGGCUGGUCCGAUUUUAGACUUUCAUUCUUUAUCCCGAGAAAGAAAAUUGCAGCCGCAAACUUAUGCGAGUAGAAGCUGAAAUCCUCUGUUCCCAUGAUCAAUGGGUGAAGCUCCACAUUAGGUUCCCCGAGUAGGGCCUCACCUACCUUCUUUGCAUGCUCAUACAAUGCUUCAUUGUUAAUCAUCACUGGAUAAGGCAGCGGUGUUUCCUCCAUAAAGUCCACCGUGCCCUCACAUCGAUGCACGGCUGAUUGCAGUUCUAUGACCUGCAAGUGGAACAUACUGUAAGAGAAGCUAUACAAGCAAUUCACUCAAUUUGGUAAAAUGACCAAAUUUACCGAGUCCUACAAUAUGUGAUACACCGAUUUAAUGAACAACUAGAUUGGAAUGUUUUUAGUCAAGUAUACCAAAUCCAACCAUCCGCUGAAGCAUAGAAUCUCAUACACCGGUGCAUUGUAGAAUUUUAGCAAUUUUACCUCUUUGAUCCUUUCUUGGAUAUGGCUGAGUCCUUCCAUUGUCAAGCUCCUGAAAGUUCCCCCAAAGUUCACAGAAUCAGGGAUCACAUUUCCUGCUUCACCUCCCUUUAAGUACCCAACGGUCACCACCUACAUAACGGAACUGAUUCAACAUGCAAAUUGAUACACAAUUCAUAUCUAACAAUCCGCGAUUAUUGCAAUUUGAAAGAAAAUUUAUGUCUAUCAAACUUAUUCCAAUUUUUUUUUUCCUGAAAAAAAAAGGGGGAGGAGAAAAAUUACCCCGGCCUCAAGAGGAUUUGUCUCUCUUGAAACAAUCUGCUGAAGAGCCACAACAGCUGAUGCUGCUGCAAGAAUCGAGUCCUUAUUCUUAUGUGGAGCAGCUGCAUGCCCACCUUUUCCUUUGACUGUUGCUGAAAAAAGGCCAGAACCGGCUAGCAUUGGACCUGGCCGUGAAGCAAUGACACCAGUUGGUAGUUGGUAGUGAUGGCAUAACAUGUAUAAAGAAAAUGGCAUCAAUGUCGUUAAGAAUGCCAUGUUGUAACAUAUGGUAAGCUCCGGCAUAAACCUCUUCUCCAGGCUGAAAAACCAGCUUCACAGUUCCCUUUAAAGUUCAAAAGCACCAAAAAGACAUCAAUUACAAUUUGGGUUUGCCGAAUUAACAUCUGGUAUGUUACAUUGUUCAACUGCAUAUCAAGUUAUCAAUGAUAUAUGACAAAUGUACGACAAGUAAAUAUAUAUACCUUUAGAAUGUCUCUUUUACUUUGGAGUAACUUGACUGCGCCAAGCAACAUUGCCACAUGAGAAUCGUGACCACAUGCGUGCAUUUUGCCCUCUAUCUUGCUCUUGAACUCCCACUCUACUUGUUCCUUCAAAAUUCAAUGGGUACAUUUUGAUCAUCAGUGACCAAAAAUAGAACACUUACCCAGUUUACCAUUUUCUGGUGAAUAACAAAGUUCCAUAAUAGCCGAUGAUCAUUUGGUCUGGUAGAACUUACAAUCAAAAUAUCACCUCCCCAAGCAGUUUAAGGCAUGUUUACAUGCCAGAAACGGAUAUUAAGUUAAGAGUGUCACUCUGGCAUUUGUCUUGUGUUUACGAACACACAAGGAAUUAAAGAAGGGCCACAUGUUAUGAUUAAGUACAUACUACAGAGUACCUAGAAAAGGUUUGGGACUAACGAAUGGGGAAAAUUAUGGGGUCCAAGUCCAACCUUGUGGACUGUCUCAUCCCUACGAAAUCAUGCGGUGUAAGAUAAACACUGUGACGGGAUAUUGUAUUAUUAGACCAUGAUACCACUCUGACGGAUACUUGAUCUAUCUAUCUCGUACCGAUCAACCAUUUGUCAUUCUCAAGACUUCUCUCAAGUAAUUAAACAUGCCCAAAUUCGUCGAGGUGAAUUCCUCAUAUUAUAUGGAACUCACUUGUACCUUCACUUUGAUUUCGAGAGUGUGAUAUCCACACAUCCCUUUUUACUUCUCACACCCUCUUUUAGUUUUCAGUUGUCAGAUCGGAUGAAAUGAAGAAGAUCAACGGACAUAAAUUAACAAAAGGUGUGUAAGAAGUAAAAAAGGAUAUCACACCCCCUGAUUUCGAGUACGGAUUAGUAAACAUGCAGUUGAUUAGUUUGUUUUGUACUUUUAACCGAGGAGAUGACAAGUUCAACUCAUUCCAUUAAAAACAAAGGAAAAAGAAGGAGAGGACCUGAAGAGGGAGGGCGUCCAUGUCAGCCCUGAGAGCAAACACUGGUUUGGAGCCAGAACCAAUGGAAGCCACCACACCAGUCUUGGCAACAGGCCACGUGUACUCAAUUCCUAGCGUGUCGAGCUCCGUCCUGAUGAGCUGACUUGUCCUGUGCUCCUCGAACCCAAUCUCUGGGUACUGGUGGAUUCUCCUCCUCACUCCCCUCAUCCACUCAAAGAACUCGGCCUCCUUCGCCGAUGCCAAUAGCUCCCGAGUCAGCAACUCGAGCUCUGUCUCACUGGUUUCCGAAGCCCAUGAUUGGCCCAAAAUAGUUUGCAUUAAUAAGCACAAAAGCAUCAAUGCCACCAUAGUCGGAUGAAAGUAUUUUUUUGGGGUAAUUUGAAAGUAAAUCACUUCAGAGAGCAGCAGAAUGGGAUAAGCUUUUUAUCGUGAAUUUCUGUAUUUGGCCUGCAAAUUUAUUUAUUUUUAUUUGUUCAUCACAUCACAUCACACUUUUAAGAAGGUAAUAUACAUACACACAAUAUAUUAACGCUAAUUUAUUAAUAAGAUAAUUUAAAACUGUGCUCAAAUCGUUGUAAUCAACGAAACUUUAAUCAACAUGCCUAUAUUAUGUUUGCUACUCCAACUCCAAUUCAAUUAUUUAUCCUUAUGUCAUUUUUUCAGUUUAACUAUUUCUCUUAAGAUUUGAACCGGAGACUUUCUCUAAUAGAUAGAAUAGUUUUUUUAUUACAACAAGUAAUAUUUUUAUUAUAAAUUAUACUAAAAAGUAAGGAGAAGGAGAGAGUUUGAUCUCGGAACGAAAUGAAUGAAAUAAGAUCUUAACCACAAAAGCAAUCCAUUACUUGCCUUUAUUAACCCUUAACCACUAGAUGAACAUAUGUUAGUUCACCUUGCCAAAUACAACAUUAUGAGUACAUCUUUACAAUUAUGAAUGAAUGAUGCCGCACGAUUUAUGCACUUUCACUUACUUGUGAUGCACAAUUUUCUUUGUUUUUAUUUUUUGAUUCUCAUUUGAUUUAUUCAAUCCAGUGACUAAAAAAGCAACAAAAAAAAUUGAAGAAAUCAUGCAUGAGAGGAAAAAGAACUGCGGAAAUAAUUUCUCAUGAAUGAUUUAAUCUUCAUUUUUAUAAAUGUAAACAUUUCGAGUUCCAACAUGAGUUAUUCACUGUCAAAAGAUAUACAUCAAAUGCCCCAAUGCGUCACAACAGCACAUCAACAUUAUCCAAAUAUGAGAGUGCAACUGCAGCAUGAAAGGCUGCUCCAAUUGGAAGAAACUCCUCAUCAAUCACCAAGAAGGGUGAAUUCAAAUCUGUUUUCGAUUCAAACGUCUCGUUCUUCGUUCCAAUCAUGAAAAAUGCAGCAGCCAUUUUUUCUGCAUAGAAGCUAAAGUUCUCUGCUCCCAUAGCCAUUGGAAGUACCUUCACAUUCGGUUGCCCAAGCAAAGUUUCUCCAACAGUCUUCGCAUGUUUGUACAUUGCUUCAGCAUUAACCGUGGCGGGAUAGGGCCUAAUUUUUUCCAGCAUGAAGUCUACCGUUGCUGUGCACCGAUGCACCGAAGCUUGCAUCUCUAUAACCAGCCUAUCAUCAUACACAUUUAAAUCAAUGGUCUAAACAAAGAUUCUCGACUCUUGACUCUUGAUUACAUAACAUGUCAAACUGUCUAGUCUCAUAAGACGGCAAAAUUUCAAUCACACUUCCAACUAGUAACUGCUUUUAAACUGCAUGUUUAUCUGAAAAGCUACCAUCUGAUAAGACCUUCUGAAGUCAUGCUUCGAAAUGUGCCUCUUAAUGUCACCAUCUCUGGGAUUACAUUUACUGCUUGGCCACCAUAAAAACAACCCCACAGUUACAACCUUGUAAUAGGUCAGAAAUGAGUACCCUUUUAGGUGAUCCGCACCUUGUAUUUCUUAAAGUCUCCAGUUAAAAGAUCAUCAAAUCGGAAAACUAUUUAGACAGAGUUGUUAUUCAACCAAUAGACGAACACUUUUUGUUACUAAAUUUGGCAGAGAUAAACAUCAAGUCCAACAGUUGAAUUAAUUUCCGGCUUGGCCCAUUGUUUGCAGGGACGACGAUUUAGAAAAUUAAGAAGAAGAUUAUGCAUAUAUAAUUAUACAACCCCUGGACUCUAGGGGUUUGUUUCUCGAGAUACAAUCUGUUGGAGUCAAAUGUGGAGAAGUAACUAGCAUGUCCACCUUUCCCAUGAAUUAUGUUGGAAUGCAUUUUUUGGAAGUGACAAAAUCUGCAAGGGGAUAUCUUGUAGUAUAGGUAACAUAAUCAACAAGCCUAGAUGGAUGAUGGCGAUCUCUUGUGGGAUUUCUCCGAGUUGAAACUUGUGGUGGAGGUAGUGGCUCGGAGACUUGUGGUGGAGGUAGUGGCUCGAAGACUUGAGAUAAGGAUUCUGUAGGUGAGCUUGGAGUGUCAUUCCCUACUACUUUUUCUUGAUAAGAAGGGAUGUUAGGUAAUGGAAAGAAAUCAUGUAGAGACUCCCCCUGAUUUGUAUCACCCACUUUAUGUGUAAAGUAGGGAGUUGACUCAUUGAAUCUAACAUCUCUAGACACUACAAGCUUCUUAGUGACUGGAUUAUAACACUUAUACCCCUUUUGUGUAGAUGAAUAACCCAUGAACACACACUUACUAGCCCGAGGAUCAAGUUUGUCACGAUGAGUAGGUUGAGUGUGAACAAAGCAUAUACACCCAAAGACCUUUAAGUGAGAUAGGUCAAUCUUUCUCUCCUUCAACACUUCAUAAGGAGAUUUGAAACCUUACUAGGGAGGCGGUUGAUGAGGUAUGUAGCAGUAAGUACCCCUUGUGACCAAAACUUCUUAGGUACAUGCAUAUGAAACAUGAGAGCUCUUGUCUUCUCAAGAAGGUCUCGAUUUUUUCUCUCGGCAACCCCGUUUUGUUGGGGAGUACCGACACAACUUGUUUGAUGAAGAAUGCCAUGGUUGCUCAUAUAUUGUGACAUAUUAUUGGACAUAUAUUCAGUGCCAUUAUCAGAUCUUAAUAUGUGAAUAUUGGAUGAGAAUUGAGUGCUAACAAGCUUAUGGAAAUCUUGAAACACUUGUAAAUUCACCUUUAAACUUUAAAAGGUACAACCAAGUGAUCCUUGUAAAAUCAUCCACAAAGGUUACAAAAUACCUAUAUCCAUCAAAAGACUCGACAACUGGUCCCCAAAUAUCUGAAUGAAUGAUUUCAAAAGGAUUACUAGCCCUAGACAAGGAUGAAUCAAAGGGUAAUCUGACAGAUUUCGACAAGUGACAAGUAUCACAUUGAAUCUUGUCCUUACACAGGUUUGGGAACAAAAAAGACAUCACUUUUUCAGAGGGGUGAGCCAACCGUAGGUGCCAAAGAUGUUGGUCUUGUGGUAUACUAGAGCUAGCUUGAAAAACCUUGGAAGUCUUGAAAUCUUUGGCUAGGUAGUAAAGGCCAUUUAAAAAGAAACCUUCACCAAUCGUCUUCUUGGUGAUGAUAUCUUGAAAAACAACAUUAUGAGGGGAGAAAAUGGCUAGGCAAUUUAAAGAUUUUGUGAGGGAUCCAACGGAUAACAGUUGACAAGGGAAUGAAGGAACAUAAAGUGCUAUUGACUCUAUGUGAUCUGAAAGAAUAUUGAUUUUUCCUUUUCCUACAACUGAGGCUCCUUUCCCAUUAGCUACUGACACUUGAGAUGGAAUGGACAUAAUUUUAAAAUCAUGCAGUUUGGUGAGUUGAUUUGUCAUAUGAUCUAUAGCUCCUGAAUCUAUAAUCCAAUAAUCAUGCACACAACUAGCAUUAAGAGCAGUUGAGAAGGAACUUAAGAUACCUGGCAUAUCAUUUUGUGGAACACGGUCAGUCUCUGCAAGAAAUCCAGCGAACUUUCCCAAUAAAGCAGUGUGAUUUUUGCUUUCAGACAUAGAGGUUUCCAAACAGUCAUUGUGCAACUGUUUCUUGUGGAGAUAGGCUGCGAACUCGUUGAUCAAUAUGGCGGGAUUGGCUGUAAAGUUUAUCAUGCCCUCAGUAGAAGAACCAGCUGCAUGGUUGGCUCGGUGAGAUGAAUGAUUCAAGCUUUUCUGGGGGCCCUUGUUAUCCUUUAAUGAGCUUGACUUCAGUUCUGGAUGAAGAAUCUAGCAUCUAUCUCGAGUGUGUCCAACAGCAUCACAAUAGUUGCAUUUCAAGUCAGGCCUUUUACCUUUAUAAGGCCUUCCUUCAGUGCGACUAUGAUUAGAAACAUAAGCUCUAGUUUCAGGCAUAUUUGAUUUGAUCUCCAAGUUCAUCACUUUCUUCCUUACUUCUUCUCUUUGAAUGAUAGCACAUACACCUGUGAAAGAUGGCAGCUCGGAAUUCAUAAGUACAUGACUUCUAAGAUCUUCAAACUCUGUGCCCAAGCUUGCCAAAAGUUGAAAGAUCUUAUCCUCCUCAGCUCUCUUUAUUAGGACAGUAGCAUCAGUGGUAUGAGGUCGAUAAACAUUAAGUUCGUUCCACAUACUUGUCAAGCUGCCAAGAUGUUGAACAAACGACUUGCCUUCUUGUUGCAGAUUUGCAAUGUCUUUCUUAAGCUGAAAAACACGAGCAGCGUUGUUUUGAUUCCCAUACAUUUCCUUGACUUGAGCCCAUAGAUGCAUGGAUGAUUCUGAAUAACUGAAAAUUUCAGCAAUUCUACGCUCCAUAGAAUUAAGUAACCAUGACAUAACCAAUUGAUCUUUACACAGCCAUGACUCAAAUGUAGGAGACGUGGCUGCAGGCGCCUUUAUAGCACCAUUGAUAUAUCCAAGCUUAGAUCUUCCUCCCAGUGCAAGAGAUAUGGCUCUAGCACAUGGAAGAUAGUUGAAUUCAUUCAACAAGACAGAACUGAGACGUUGGUUUGGAUUAACCUCAACGUCGGAACCUGCUGCAGUAGCCAAAGAACAGUCAGCUUCAAAAGACUUGUCUUCCGCCAUCGUAGCAUGAAGAAAAAAAUGCAACGAAAAAAAAUGAAAGAGAACAUAAGCCUAACUUGCCUAACUUGCCUAACUUGCCUAAUUUCCUAACUUGCCUAACUUGCCUAAUUUACACAAAGAAGGUUGACUAGCCUAACUUCACUAGUCAUCCAACAUGUUUAUUUCAUGCAUGCAUUUUAACAAAAGAUAUGACUUGCAUGCAUUCCAACAAAUUAUGACCCAAAAACCUACCAGCCCCAGCAAGCAUUGGACCAGCUCUCGAACCGAUAGUUCCGACAGUCAUUUCUGGUGAAAUAUGUAUCACAAGAAUGCCUUGAACGUUAUCAAGAGUACCCUCUUUUAGUUGAAUAGUACCGGCAAAACACUGUUUAUUGAUUUUUUUUAACUAACUAAUACAAGCACUACUAUAUAUAGUGAAAACUAAAACAAAAUCCUAAUCCUUAAAGGAUAUAGAAAACUCUAAUAAACCCUAAAUCCUAACUCUUAAAGGAUAUAGAAAAUUCUAAUAUCCUUGUCACAUAAGAAAACCAUAAACAAAAAUAAACUAAUAACUAAUUUUUCAACACCCCCCGUCAAACCCAUGACGGUACACGUCAUGAGUUUGCCAACACGCAGAUGCGGAUGCAAGCUCCGUUAGGCGGACAAGACACGACAAGCUCCGUUAGGCGGACACGACAAGGCAAGACAAACGAGCAAAUAAGUGAACGAACAAACAAGCAUGCGAGCAACGAACAACCAAGUAAGCAAUUUCCAUACUACCAACUCCAAUCCUUGCGGGCAUCUUCUUCAACCGUCGAAGAGGCGGGUGGAUGCAAUUCAACAAAUGCGGCCUUAGGUGGUGGUUCUUUAACCAUUUUCGAGCUAUCCAAGGACAUUGGUUUUUCCAAUUCCCUUGUUCUUUGCAAUAGCUACAUUGAUUAUGAGUAAUAUUUUUACCAUGCUGCUGGUUUUGAGGUCUAAAUGACGUUGCCAAAGCCGAUGGGUUCACCAAAGAAAGACUAUGCGAUUGUACCCGAACUUCUUCGGCUUGCAAUUCAUGAAGCACAGAAUCAACGGAAGGAAGUGGAGUUCGGUGUAGGAUAGAGCUACGGAGAGUCUCAAACUCACUUCGAAGAGGCAUUAGAAACUGAACAAGGCGUUGUUCUUCUCUAUGUUUACAAUAGAGCUCAACAUUGCCAAGUCCGUCAGGUUCUGUCAGUGCAAGCUGGUCCCAAAGACAAGUCAUGUCAUUAUAAACAUCUUGGAUACUUUUAUCACUUUGCUGGUUGGCACGAAUCUCCAUCUCUAACUGAUAACGCUUAGCAAAAUUUGACUUGGUAUACAACUUUGCUAAGUGAUCCCAAACCUCUUUAGAUGUUGAGAACUUAGCAAGUUGCAUUCCAAUCUUCAAAGCAACAGAGAUAUUAAUCCAAGUAAUAAUCUUUGAAUUGUUCAUCUCCCAAAUAGCAAGCAGGUCAACAUGUUUUUCAUCUUUGGGAUUAUUAGGAGCGGAAACCGUUCCAGAUACAUAGCCCCACAAACCUUUUCCAAACAAGAAAUUCUUCAUGACAUAUGCCCAAUACACAUAAUUAUUACCAUUCAAUCUCACACCAAUCGCUUGCAGUGAGUCAUCCUUAGUUGUCAUAUUCAGUGAACCAAAAAAAAACAGGGACAAGGUGCACAAUACCGACAAUAAUUUGGUUUAGGUUGUAGACUGAUGCAAGCAAAUCUGAUUCUGGGUAGCAGGUUACGGGUUGGUUUCACGGUAAAGUAGCGGAAGAUGGUUGUAGGGUGAAAGUUGGUGGUUCAAGCAGCAGUGAUGGCGGACAGUGCGAGACAAACGAAUCAAACUGAACAAAUAAGCUAUCAGAUGAACAAAUAAUCUACGAGACAGGUCCUCACGAACCUGCUCUUGAUACCAAGUUGAAUAGUAUACCGGCAAAACACUGUUUAUUGAUUUUUUUUAACUAACUAAUUCAAGCACUACUAUAUAUAGUGAAAACUAAAGCAAAAUCCUAAUCCUUAAAGGAUAGAGAAAACUCUAAUAAACCCUAAAUCCUAACCCUUAAAGGAUAUAGAAAAUUCUAAUAUCCUUGUCCCACAAGAAAACCAUAAACAAAAAUAAACUAAUAACUAAUUUUUCAACACUUUUAUCAUAUGGUAUGCACCCUCCACGCCCCUCUUCUGCAGGCUGAGAAAAAGCUUGAUUGUGCCCUAUAAAAAUUGAAAACAUGAAUGCAAAUUGUAAACAAUGUGUAUAAAUGGUCAAAAACAUAAUGGAAAAGAUUUGAGCAUAUAUUAACUUCAGUUGGUUUGUAUAUAUACCUUUAUUUCUUUACUUUUGAGUUAAGUAACUUAGCAGCUCCUAGCAGUUUUGUUACAUGAGCAACUGUCCACACAAGUGCAAUUUUCCAGGGUUCUAGCUCGUCCUCCCACUCAAUCAUUUUAUAACAAACAAGAAACCCUAUUUAAUUAGUUUUUUUUUUUUUUUGAACUGUUAUUAGCACUUCAAAAAUCUCAUUUUAUACUCCUCACUAGUGUAUUUUUCUUUCUAAUUAUAGAAAAUUUGAAGUACAAAAUGAGAUUUUUUGGAAUGUUAAUAACAAUUCCCUUUUCUUUUAACAAUAAACCUCUUUUAAUGAGGUCUAUGGAUUACAUAACUAACCGCCUCUCUAAUAAAAGUGUACCUCACGCGAGGCCCACAUGUAUUAAGCUAUAUGAUCAAUAAAUGUGAUGGAAAUAACAUCAUUCUUUUUGUUAAUGUUGGAUUAAAUAAAUACUGUCAAAUUAAAAUAUGAACUGAUUUUCAAACACAAUUUUUCGUCCCUGCACACCUUAGGUUUAGCCUUUGAAUUGGACAAAACCAAAUAAUAUUCAAGGGACACAAAUAGACAUAGGUGCGCAGAAGGAGAAAAUGGUUUGUGGAAUCCUUCAUCAUUCAAUGUAUCUAACUGUUUAGUCUCUAACUUUUAAUAAUUGGCAUUUUACUACCAUAAAAUUACAAAUUGUUAUACUAAUGUCCCUUCCGUUCGUCGAGCUAUCAACUAACAAGUACUGUCAACGAAAAAAAAAUUAACUAACUGCUAAGUUUUUACCCGACACUUAGUUGGUCUACUUUUUACUUACAUGAACACUAAUAGCGCGUUUACUAAUCCGUAAUCAAAUUGAGAGGAAUUGAAUUGAGGAGGAAUUAGAUUGAGGCGGAAUCAGAAUCGGAUUCAUGUUAUUGUUGUUUACUAAAACUGUCUGGAAUCGGAAUAGAAUUUCAUAAAGUUGUUUACUAAUUCAACAAAAUCAGAAUAUAAAUCAAUAUAAUUACUAAAAUGCCCUUGUCCCAAGUAAUGUAAAUACUAAAUUGCCCAUAUUCCAAGUAUAUAGUUUUUAUAUUUUUGAUAAAUUCUUUUUUUUUUUUUUUUUUUUAAACUUUGUGAAAAAACUUUAAAAUGAAUUUGUACGGUUUAUAUAUAUAUAUAUAUAUAUUAUUUUUGUUUAAAAUGUCAAAAAUUAUAUUUAUGUAGUUAAUAUUAAAAAAAAACCAACUGGGAUCCUCUUUUUCUUUCUCCUGGAGCCUAAUCUGCGCCCCAACCCCAUAUUCUUUUCAGCGAUCCCCAAAUCUUUUUAGCCUCCCCUUCUUCUUCUUGCUCCCUUCUGAUUCUUCUUCUUAUUUUCUUCUGAUCCUUCUUCUACAUCUGCCAAUUGUUUUUUCUUUCUCAUGAAGGCCGCACCGCACCGCACCCCAUUCCCCAAUUCUUUUCAGCUUCUCCAUCUUCUUUUUUUUUUCCAUCUUUUUCUUCUUUCCUUCUGAUUUUUCUCCUCCUGAUUUUUCUUCUCCUUUGAUAUUGGCCAUUGCCCACAGAGACACACAGAAGCAGAGAAAGAGGUGGAAGGGAGACGAGAUAAGGGUAUUUUGGGUAGAAAAAUGGGAUUCCAGAUAGAGCAUUUCAUCCGGAAUUCAAAUCCCACCUAUUAUUUGGGAGACCGGUUCCGGAUAAAUGGAGAGUCUGAUUCCCCAUAUUAGAUGGGUCCCACAUACACUUCAUUCCCUCAAAUGUUGGUAAACACUUGAAUAACCGGAAAGGAGUGCAAUUCUCAUUCCUCUUGUCUCACUCUCCUUACGUAAAUGCACCGUAAAUUGAUAUUGCAUUUGAAACACCUCAACUCUAUUUUAUUUAAAAAUUGUUUUAAAACCUUAAUUGGUGAGCCCGUGGGACCCACCUUGUUUUAUUUUUAUGUUUUCUAGUCUCUCCUCUCUCAGUUCUCUCUUCUCCCUCACCUCUUCUGCAACUCUCUCCCAUAUCUCUCUCGGACCUCAUCUCUCUCCCUUGCUGCAACUCCUUUUCUCUGAGCAGCACUCAACCACGCCAUCUGCUGAGGACAUCAUCAUCAAAACCUCUGCAGUUUUCUCUCUCCCGUUGUAGAAAGGACGACGAAAUCCCAGGAGCAUCCGGCGAGCACCGCCCCUUUCGAGGAAAUUUCCGGCCAAACCACGGUGCAUUAGCCAGCGUGCAAGGUAUCAAUCUCUUCGUCUCGUCGAGUAGUAUAACUUUUCUUUUUGUUUCACUCUAUUUCGUUGAGUAUUGAAGAAGUUAUACUCAUUUGAAUCUUACCCAGUUUCCGGCGACCUCCGAGGCUUUCGAGGAAUUUUCCGGCCAAACCACGGCAAGUUAGACGUCGUGUGAUGUACCAUUCUCUUCGUCUCUUCAAGGGCUACAACUUUCGUUUUUGAAUCGCUUGAUUUCGUUGAGUAGUAACAAAGUUAUGGCUGUUUAAAGAUUGUGCAUUUUCUGGCCGAAUUUCCGACCUUCUUCUUCCUUUGAAUCCGGUAGCCCAGAAAAACCAAGCCCUUUAGGCCUUCCUUGCCGAGCCCAACCCUUUCGGUUGUGAGGCCUUUGGGCCUUUGUGUGUGUGUGUGUGUUUUGUGAGGGCUUGCCUUGUGCAGCCCGCGUGUGUGUAUGUAUAUUCAGUAUGUGUGUGUGUGUAUGAGUGCAUGUGUGUGGGGUGUGUGUGUUUAUGCAUGUCGUGCAUGCAUGUGCAUGUUGUGCAUGUGUGUAUGUUUGUGUAGUGUGUGUGUUGUAUGCAUGUGCCGUGUGUGUGUGUGUGAUUUGUGUGGGUUUGGGCUCAAGCCCAAUCCAUCUCUUUUGCUCCUAAACUAUCCAAAACCCAAAAACCUUAGGACCCUAAACCCAAAACCCAAUAGGUCCUAACCCUAUUUAACCUAAAUCUAAACCCUAAUCCGGAUUCAAGCCUAAAACCCGUUAGACCUAAUUUGACCGUUGACCCCCGGUCAACGUUGACUUUAGGGUUGACUUUUUGGGUUUUCGUCUGGAACCUUUCUUAGGGUAAUUCGACAUUCUGAACCCAUUUCCAAUGUCCGUUUUCCCAAAUUCAAUUGCUAUUAUAUAGUUUUAUUAAUUGUACCAUUUAAUGUGCUUAGGGGCAAUUAUUGUGACGUUUCCGUCUUCGCUAAUGGCACAGCUUUUGGCAACUAAGUACUGUGAGUGGACCACUUCUAAAAUUAUAUGAUUUUAUAGUUUAAUUGCAUAAAUGAUUAGCAUGCCUACGAAUUUAUGAUUUGAUUUAUGUUCAGCCUGUUUACUGUAUAUUUUGAUUUUCGUCUUGUGUUUUUGGUGAGGAAUUCAUUGUUGGCCUAUUUUGAGCUAUAUUUUAAUAUAUCGUAUUUUCUAUAAAAACCAUGAACUGUUAGACUAUCCGAUGAAUGACGAUAAGAUGAUAAAACAUGUUUUCGAAACCCCUCUUUAUAGUAUAGACGAUGGAUGACUUUAUACUAUGAAAUAGUUAUUUAUGAGAGGCGUAACUAUUUGUGCGUACCUAGUAGACACUAUGCCGUCUAGGGCGAGGAUCUGGUGUUGGCAAUUAGGCCGGGAGAAAUAAUCCCUAGCGAAAGGCUGAGGGACACGGUGACAGGCACUGGGCCGGGAGGGAGUUAUCUCUGGCUACGAGCACAGAGACUUAGGUGCAGGCAUUGGGCCGGGAGUUAUAUUUAUUCGAUGAUCUUUCUAACAGCGCACCGCGCUUACGAGACGAUAUAUUAUACGUUUACUGUUUUGAUUUCCGCGAUGUUGUUCUGCGAUAUGACUUUUGAGAUAUUUUUGGCAUACUAGGAUUUUGAUUAAAUCCAUCACUUAUUAUGCUAGUAGUUUUCAUUAUAUAAACUGUGGGGGUUAGUAUCUUGAUAACUGUUUUAUUAUUAUUAUAUAUAUGAACAUAGUCCACUCACCUUUGUUUUGCGCCCCUAUUCAGAACUUAGAAUCAAGGCACCUAAUCCCGGCGGCAAGGCACUUCCGCAGCAGCAUCUCGUCCUUUCGGGGUAGAACCCACUCCUUUGUUCAUUCAAUCUUAUCUUAAUUCUUGUUAGUGACUAGGUUUAGUUGUAUAUUCUGAACACGUUCCUAAUUUAUUAAUUCAUCAUAUUUUAAAUUCAUAACCCUUAUUUAUUUCUUAUUCUUAGCUUUUGUAUCAAUUAAUGGCUUUCGUCACCUUCGGGUGUCGACCAGCACGUAUCGGUCCUGGUAUUCGAGAAAUAUCAAGGUCGGAGCGUGUCAGCAUUUAUAUCAUUAUUUGCAUCUAUAAAUAAACCUAGAAGGUUAACGUUUCCACUAAGAAAAUUCUUAUUUGCUGUUCAUAUAGAAUUUGUUAUUCCAUUCAUCACGAAUCUUAUGACAUGACUCCAUGCAAGAAAAGAUGGGUCGAGGGGUACGUUGAAAGAAUAAAGUUAACUUAAUAGUAACAAAAGUGUAAAAUUUUUAAAAUCAAGGACCAAAAUGUUAGUGACCCUUAACUAGAAGUCUAGAAUGGUGCAAAGUGCAAAUAACAUUUAUCAAAAAGUUGUGACAAAGAAGAGGAAGGGAACAUUUGUCCACAACAACAACAACAACAACAAAGCCUUUUCCCACUAAGUGGGGUCGGCUAUAUGAAUCCUAGAACGCCAUUGCGCUCGGUUUUGUGUCAUGCCCUCCGUUAGAUCCAAGUACUCUAAGUCUUUUCUUAGAGUCUCUUCCAAAGUUUUCCUAGGUCUUCCUCUACCCCUUCGGCCCUGAACCUCUGUCCCGUAGUCACAUCUUCGAACCGGAGCGUCAGUCGGCCUUCUUUGCACAUGUCCAAAUCACCAGAGCCGAUUUUCUCUCAUCUUUCCUACAAUUUCGGCUACUCCUACUUUACCUCGGAUAUCCUCAUUCCCAAUCUUAUCCUUUCUCGUGUGCCCACACAUCCCACGAAGCAUCCUCAUCUCCGCUACACCCAUUUUGUGUACGUGUUGAUGCUUCACCACCCAACAUUCUCUGCCAUACAACAUCGCUGGCCUUAUUGCCGUCCUAUAAAAUUUUUCCUUGAGCUUCAGUGGCCUACGACGGUCACACAACACGCCGGAUGCACUCUUUCCAUCCAGCUCGUAUUCUAUGGUUGAGAUCUCCAUCUAAUUCUCCGUUCUCUUGCAAGAUAGAUCAUAGGUAACGAAAACGGUCGCUUUUUGUGAUCUUCGCUAGAUUGCUCCGGUCAUUAGUGUGGAUAAAGUAUAAUAAAUGGAUAAAGAUAGGAAAGCAAACACAAGAUGUACGUGGUUCACCCAGAUUGGCUACGUCCACGGAAUAGAAGAGUUCUCAUUAAUUGUGAAGGGUUUACACAAGUACAUAGGUUCAAGCUCUCCUUUAGUGAGUACGAGUGAAUGAUUUAGUACAAAUGACAUUAGGAAAUAUUGUGGGAGAAUGAUCUCGUAAUCACGAAAACUUCUAAGUAUCGGAGUGUGGUGUCGUCUUGACUUGCCUUAUCUGUCUCAUAGGUAGAUGUGGCAUCUUCUCUGGAAGUACUCUUCCUCCAUCCAGGGAUGGUAUCUUUAACUGGUGGAGAUGCACAAGGUAAUGUAUCAAUUUCACUUGAAGCUUACUUGUAGUUUCAGGCUUGGUCAAGCGCGAUACAAACCAUGUAGUAGGAGUCCCCCAAGUCGCCGAGCUAGGGGGUCUGCUGAAAGAGGUGACAGACAAGGUAAGCAAUCAGAGCUCCGACUGAUUUGUUCACCUUCUCCCCAUCUUGCAGCAGCAGCAUGAAGGAUAAAGAGAAGAAAAAUGAGAAGAGAUGAUAUGAGAUACUUUUGCUUUUGAAGAAGUAACUUUCCACAGGCUUAUUCUUGAACUGAGCUGGAGGGUUUUCUGGUUUCCUCCAGAGUAUAAGGCCGACUGAAGAAUUUGAGGGUCAAAACAAGUCCAUCAAAUCUAGAGUACGUUCCACCCUGCUGAUAUGGGAUACUUUUGCUUUUGACAGAGUAAUGGAUGUAUCGGCACGUGUGCUGUUACGCUUGUCUCCACAUGCUUCCUUGUAUCCUUCGCACUUGCCCUAUCUGUUCCUCAAGCAGAUGCGGAAUCUUCCCUGGAAACAUAAGAUGAUGAAGAUGAGUACUCGAGGAAGGGAACAUUUGUCCAAAAACAUAAAAAAAACAAAAACCAUAAAAACAAAAAAAGAGAAGAGGAAGGGAACAUUGACCAACGUGAAUAGGGAGAGUAUCCAUGUCGACCCUGAGAGUAAACCAUGGCUGCGACCCCGAACAAUUAGAAGCAGUGACCCAGAGUCAGAAUUUUUAUAAGGAGAAAUCUCUCAUAAUAAUAUAUAUAUUUAUAAAAUUAGUAACCAAAAUAUUUUUUGAACAAACGAUAUUAUUUACAUGAAGGAGGAAGAUGGUUAAGCUUAGUCUCAUAAAGAGCUAACAACAAUAUGAUUCAAAUUUGUCUUUUGCGAAAAUCAAUAACUAGAAUCCCCUACAAAUUUUCUAUAUCAUCUAGAUUAAACGUUUGUGUCUUUUCAAAUUUUGAUUAAAGUGCUUUGACUAAUCGUCAGCAUCUUUUGUUAAGUUAAAUUACAUGUCAUUAUUUUAUUUUUGUAAUUAAAAUAACUUAUAAAUUUAUCCAUUUAGUUGCUUGAUGCGUUUUUCCUUAUUCAGUGGACAUAUUUGUUAUUAACUAUGUUUGUACCAUACAUGACCAAUCCCGAAACUACUGAGCACCAGUCAACAUUAUACCGUCAAGGACCUAGAAGAGUUUCCCUCCAACCAAAAGGCCAAUCACAAUGCGACACGUGUCGACAUCGGAAGCCAAUCACAACGCGACAUGUGUUAACAUCAUAAGCUAAUCACAACACGACACGUGACAAUGUCAGAACAAAGCUAGAAACUCUUCUAUAAAAGGAGAUCAUUCUCCCACAAUAUUUCCUAAUGUCAUUUGUACUAAAUCAUUCACUAGUACUCACUAAAGGAGAGCUUGAACAUAUGUACUUGUGUAAACUCUUCACAAUUAAUGAGAACUCCUCUACUCCGUGGACGUAGCCAAUCUGGAUGAACCAUGUACAUCUUGUGUUUGCUUCCUUGUCCCUAUCCAUUUACAUACUUAUCCACACUAGUGACCGGAGUAAUCUAGCGAAUGUCACAAACUUAACAAUUUCUGUUGUACCAAAGUCCGCACUGAUUUUGUGCAUCAACAAACUAUAUUUUUUAUUCUUCCAAAUACGCUUCUUCGAUCACAUUUUUUAUUUUUUUUUUGCAAACAUUUAAUAUUUUUUUUUUCUCAAAUGGUUUGUUUUUAUUGAUUGUUUUCAAAUAGUUGUGAUCCACCAUAACAAGUUAUGUGUAAUUUUUUUAAUUUUUUUUGUGAAAUUAUUUUUCUUUGAUGUUUUAUUACGUAUAGUUGUUGAUAGAACUAUUAUUAGGUACAUUUUACAUAUAUUAUCGAUGGGUAUGUUUAAAUUUGUAAAAUCGUUGAUUGGUACGUUUAUUUGCAAAUUUUGGUACAGUUGAUUAGGUACAUAUUGUUAAUAUUAGUACAUUAUUUUUCAUUUAGGUACGUUCGAUUUCACACACAUUGUUCAUUGGUAAGUUUAUAUUGUUUUCAGUCCUAUUUUCUUUUAAUUUACUAAAAGAAAAACUUAUUUGGGUACGUUUAGUUUUGUGGGAUUUAAAAAUAAUAUUUUAAAUUGUAGAUAAUCAUUGCUAUAUUGUAGCUAGGGGUUAUUGUGAAAAUAAAUUGAAUCCAACCACAUUUUUUUUACACUUAUCUCGAAAGGGAGGAGGGUAAUCAAAUGGCUAGAUAAUAGGAAAUUUGUUAUGAUGUGUUUUUUUGUUGUUAGAUUUUAGGGAGGUACAUGAAAUAAUUAAUUCUAAUAUAUAAAGCACCGAAAUCAAAUCUCUAAAAAGCAUAAAUGUUUAGUUUAAAAAGAUAAAAGUAAGGUGCCUAUAUCAAAAGAUCUCGUACAUUUCAAAUAAUCAUAUUUAUCCUCGACGAGUUUUCAUAUUUGAAAACAUUGCAUGAUAACCUCGUCAUCUAUUCUAUUCUAUUGAAAGAAUUAUCAUCAUCAAUGUGUAGAAUCGAUAAAAUUUUACAAACCCUAACACUCAAGUAGGAGGUAGAAUAGAGUAAAACGACUCAAAAAUUGUAACAAUAAUAGAGAUUUACAAAUCUUAUUGUUGCAUAUUGAAUGGAUUUGUAAUUUUUUUUCCAAAGGAUUUCUAAUUUUGUUCAAUAAGUUGACUCGAUUUGGAAUUUGGAAUGACAAAAAAUAUAAAAUUUUAAGAAUGAAAUAGUGGAUAGCUCUCGAAUUUCUGGGUUGCACCGUGAAAGAUCAGAGAUAAGAAUGUGAGGCAAGAUUUUUUAUUCUUAUAAAUAAAGGUGAAUGAUGGCAUUAAUUUAAUGGUUGAUUUGUGAUAAAGGACCAUAGCAAGACGUAAUGAUUGGAUUUAUUUAAAGUUUAAAACAAUAAGAGGGUUUUAGAAGAAAAGGAAUAGCUAAGUAUCAUACAUAUAUGUAUAUAGAUAUAGAUAUAUUUUUUCAAAGCUCAGGAUAGGCCCAGGACCGCCACGGUCCCUUGGUGCCUCCGCCAGCGAAUAGAAGCCACCACCCUGGGUCUUGGCCACCGGCCAUGUGUACCCGAUCGCGAGCGAGUCGACUCUUCUGGUCCUCCUCAAAGGCCAAUUCCAGGUUCUCGUGGAUUCUCCUCCUACUAACCCCUCUCAACCAACCAAAGAACUCGGGCACCAAAGCCGAGUCCACCCUCUUUCGAGUGAGUUGACUCACCUCCCACCACGAACCAGCCGUCUUUGAACCCCAUGAGUGGUUUGCUAUCGCGGACAACAAUAACAAAAGCUGAUAAAUUCUUGAGUGUUGAUUUGUAAUUGGUAUGAUGAUUUUCGGGGAUUAACAAGGGACAAGAAUUUGGAAUUUUGUAGGAAAGUACAGUGCUAUCUCUGUCUGGAGCAAGCACAGAUAUUUUCAUUGAAAUAUCUACACAUUGGACUUUUCUCUUACAAGCUACUCUAGAGCAAUAUCAGCCCUUGAUUAACAAACAAUAAUCUAAGCAUACACUUGUUCUAUGAGACUAAGCAUGCACUUAACUGUUGGUUCCUUCCUUCUCAACCAUUCGAUCAAAACCAAAUUCUAUUUAAUUCCAACACUCCCCUUUAAAUGAAUUCUGGUUUUGAUCCCAAGCAUUCCUCUGAGAUAGACAAAUCUUUCCUUUGGUAGAGCUUUGGUGAAGAUGUCUGCCAUUUGAUCCUGUGAUUUGCAGUAGAUCAGUUCAAUUGUAUUCUCCUGCAAAGCUUCCCUUAUAAAGUGAAACUUCCUUUUGAUAUGCUUGGUUUUCUGGUGAAACAUAGGAUUUUUGGUCAUUGCUAUUGCUGAUGUGUUGUCACACAUAAGUGGUGUAGCAUCCACUUGCAUUUCAACAAAAUCCUUUAACACAAACCUCAACCAUAUAGCUUGGGAGGUAACCAUUGCAGCACUCACAUACUCUACCUCAGCCGUAGACAGUGCAACACUUUGUUGCUUGACAGAGGCCCAAGAAAAUAUCCCAAAACCAAAUGUAAAUGCAUAUCUUGAAGUACUUCUCAUGUCAUCUUCACUGCCACCCCAAUCACUGUCACAGAAGCCUACCAGAAUUGCUUCUUCUCCCUUUUCAUAUUUGAUUCCAUAGUCCAAGGUCCCUGAGAUAUACCUAAGUACUAUCUUGGCAGUUCCCAUAUGAAUUCUUAUGGGAUUAUGCAUGAACCUUGAUAAGAGACUGGCUGCAUACAUAAUGUAUGGCCUUGUGGCAGUCAAGUAAAGUAAACUUCCAACCAUUUUUCUGUAUAAUCUUUCAUCAGCAGGUUCAGAACCAUCCAUUUUACAAAGUUUCUCAUUUGUGAUCAAUGGUGUUGCCGCAGAUUUGCAUCCUUCCAGAUUGAAUCUUUCAAGCAAUGAUUGUGCAUACUUUUGUUGAUGUAUGAAAAUCCUCGUAACUUCUUGUAUUACUCCAAUUCCCAAGAAGUGAUGCAACAAGCCAAGAUCCGUCAUCUCAUAUUGUCUCAUCAUGUCCCUUCUGAAUUCUUCAAUUAUUUCUUCACAAUUACCAAUAAAGACCACAUCAUCAACAUAUAUAGAUACAAUAAGCAUCUCAGAGUUCUCACCAGUUUUUGUAUACAAUGUAGCUUCACUAGGACUUUUGUUAAAUCCACUCUUGUUGAAAUAAGAGUCUAUCUCACUGUACCAAGCCCUGGGGGCUUGUUUGAGUCCAUACAGUGCUUUGUUUAACCUAUACACCAUCUCUUCUUCAUUUGGAACUUCAAAUCCCUGUGGUUGAUCCACAUACACUUCUUCCUCCAGAGUGCCAUUUAGAAAAGGCUGAUUUAACAUCUAACUGGUGAAGUUUCCAUCCCUUUUGGGCAACAAGAGCAAUCAAGGUUCUAAUGGUAUCUAACCUAGCCACUGGGGCAAAGGUUUCAUUGAAAUCUACCCCAGGUUGUUAUGAGUAGCCUUUGGCAACCAAUCUUGCUUUGUUCUUCUGUAUUGAUCCAUCCAAAUUCAGUUUGGUCUUGUAGAUCCAUUUCACACCUAUCACAGGUUUAUCACUCAGUCUAUUUACCAAUUUCCAGGUAAAGUUUUUCUCAAUCAUGGCAAUUUCUUCACUCAUUGCUUUCUGCCAAGAUUGAUCAUUCUCAACUUCUUCAAAACUCUCUGGUUCAACAACUACUGCAUAGAUCUCAUCUAAACUCCUCAUUCUCAAUGGAGUUGUUUCUGGGGAAGAAUCCUGCAAUUCUCGUCCUUCUGCAUUUGAAGUAGAGGACUGAGAUCCUUGUGUUGGGGUUGAAAAUUCAUUUUGUCUUCCAUUUUGCAUAACAGGUUCAUUCUCAAUUUGCACAUCAGCUUGUGCUUCUUCCAUUGUUAGUGGAAAUGAGAUGGUGUCAAUGUUGUUGGUUUCCCAAUUCCAUGCUUCAUUUUCCUUGAACACCAUAUCUCUUGAGAUAAUCACUUUAUGUGACCCCAUAUUGUAGAGCCUUUAGCCCUUUUCACAGCUUCCAUAACCUACAAGAACACACUUGAUACUAUUGAUUUCAAGCUUGUGUCUUAAUUGAGAUGGUAUUUGUGCAUAGCAGAUUGAUCUGAACACCUUCAAGUGCUUCACACUUGGUUUUCUGCCACUAAAUGCCUCAAAAGGUGUUUUCUUCUCAAGUGCUUUAGUUGGACACCUGUUUAGGAGAUACACAGAUGUAUUGACAGCUUCACCCCAAAAGGAAAGUGGCAUUUUCUUAUCAUGUAGCAUUGACUUGGUCAUUUCAACCACAAUCAUGUUCUUCCUCUUUGUUACACCAUUCUGUUGUGGUGUGUAGGCCACUGUUAGUUGCUUCUGUAAUCCUGCUCCUUCACAAAAUUCUUGGAACUCAAAUGAAGUGAACUCACCACCUCUGUCACUUCUUAGCCUUUUGAUCUUGAGACCACUCUGAAGUUCAACCAUCACCUUGAAUUUCUUAAAGAUUGAAAAGACUUCACUCUUGUUUCUCAUAAAGUAUACCCAAACCAUCCUGGUGCAGUCAUCAAUGAAUAACAGAAAGUAUUUAUUCCCACUAAGUGUAGGUGUCUUCAUUGGACCACACACAUCUGUGUGAAUGAGUUAUAGAGGCUGGCCUGCUCUCCAUGCAUUUCCAGUUUCAAAAGAGUCCCUAUGAUGCUUCCCCAAUAUGCAACCUUCACAUGGUUCUUUAGUAUCUUAUAACUCAAGAAGACCAGUCACCAUUUGUAAUUUCUCCAAUCUCUUUAAACUAUGAAAGUUUAGAUGUCCAAACCUUUUGUGCCAUAACCAAGAGUUUUCUGCAACACUUGCUUUUAGAGCAAUUAAGUCAUUGUAAUCUAGCAUAAGUGGAAAAUUGUUGUUCCCUGUCAUGCCAACUUAUGUUACCAAGUUUUGGAGGCUUUUGUCAUCAAAGAUCUCCACCAUAUUGUCUCCAAAAAGUAAGAAAUAACCAUGACCAAUCAUAUGUCCCACACUAAGGAGAUUCUCAUCUAGGCCAGGUACAAGUAUCAUAUCCUUGAUGAAUCUUCUUCCACCUUUUGUCUCUAGAACAAGAGUUCCUUUUCCAGUAGCUUCCACAAGUUGUCCAUUCCCCAUUUUUACUCUACAAUUGAAGCCUCUGUCAAUGUUGAUUAACAAGGAUUCAUAUGCAGUCAUAUGAUUACUGCAUCCACUGUCAAUAUACCAGAUUCCUUUCUUAUUUUCGGUUCUUGCAACACUACAAGUAUAAAAGACAUUUACUUCUUCUUCUUCUGCUCUAUGUGCAUAAUUGACAGCUUGGUUCCUUCUUGGAUUACAAUCUUUUGCUAGAUGGCCAAAUCUGUCACACUUGGUGCAUUUGGGUUUUCCCUUGAAUGAUACCAAGAGCUUUUGCAUCUCUGGUUUCAUUAACCUUCAUUGAUAUCUUCUUCACAAACUGUUAAUCUUCAUCGCUAGAAUCAUUAUCAGUUUCUGCGAUUUCAAAACCCCUGUCCACCAAAUUCCAUAGAUCAUGUGAUUUGAAUAUGGUCUUCAUCUUGAUGGACCAAAAAUCAUAGUUGGACCCAUUAAAGAUAGGAGCCCUCAGAUCUCCUCCACUGCUCGAGGUAGCCAUGUGAGACUUUGUAAGAACAGAUGAGGUUUUUCAAAAUCUGGGUUUGUUUUUCCCCUUUUCUUAGCACACAAAACGCCCAGUCUUGAAAUUGAUCAGAACCUAAGCUCUGAGGCCAUGAUAAAUUCUUGAGUGUUAAUUUGUAGUUGGUAUGAUGAUUUUCGAGGAUUGACAAGGGACAAGAAUUUGGAAUUUUUGAGGAAACUGUAGUGCUCUCUUUGUCUAGAGCAAGCACAGAUAUUUUCAUUGAAAUAUCAACACAUUGGACUUUUCUCUUACAAGCUACUCUAGAGCAAUAUCAGCCCUUGAUUAACAAACAGUAAUCUAAAGCAUACACUUGUCCUAUGAGACUAAGCAUGCACUUAACUGUUGGUUCCUUCCUUCUCAACCAUUCGAUCAAAACCAAAUUCUAUUUAAUUCCAACAAAAGCCGCAGCCACUCCAUGACAACAAGAUGCGUUCGAUCGGGUUAAGGAUUGUUAUGUGAAUGGAUUUAUUCCACUCUUAUAUAAACUCUAAAUUAUUAUUGUUUGAAUGUUUGAGGUUAAAACAAUAACUCACCAAGGCGCGCAUAAAGUAGCCUCGCUCUGGAAGACAAGUACAUGGAACAAAACCGGCCCAGAACAAGAAAAGAGCUCAAUAUAUAGGCCAAAAACAAUCAACCACUAUUCUGGAGAAGGGCCUUAUGUAUAGGAUAAAAGACGAUCCUCAAACUAAACUAUAGCCGACUGUAUAGUAAGUGCAAACUUGGCCAAGAUGAGCAACUCCAUUACGGUGAUCAGGGAUGUGGUUGAUGCCCGGGGUGGGAAAAAACCGCUAAACCAAAGCAAUCCAUUAUUCAUUUAGUUUUGAAGAUUUCCUUUUGUUAAAAAAUAGAAAAUAUUAUAUUAACAUUUCAAGGGGAAUUGUAAAUUACUAAUUAAACAAUAGUUAAAAGAAAAAUAGUGGUGGGUUAUCUGCUCUGGUGGUUGGAGCAUAACUUUAACCACUGCGUUUCGAGUUCAAAUCCAUCUAUUUCUCUCAUUGUAGAUAAUAUUAGAGAAGAUUGAGAAAGUUUUGUAGAGAAUUUGUCAAAUUCAAAGGAAUAUGAAUCUUUGUUCUUAGAAUUAAAUAUAACAACAUGUGAGAGAGAACUUAAUUAAUAACAAAUGGCGACAACAAAAAAGAAAAUGUCACGUGAAUAUAUAACACCAAGCAAAAUACCAAAUUGUGAAGUAUGAUUCUGUUCAUUUUGGUCCAAGCUUGGUUGCACUUUUGUCAAAGUAAAGAUCAAACUAAACUGCCCAAACUGGUUUGACGUGGUUGGUUUUUGAAUGAUUUGUUGAAUUUUGCCACCACUGCACAUUAAUUAUUCCCUAAACUCUAAAAUACUUAAGUUGAUAAAUAUUUAAUUAAAAAUAAACUAGAUUAGGUUUGUCGUUCUGCCAGGAGGUUAGGAACUAUGAAGAUUCCCAGGGCUCAAUGAAAUGAUUCCGAACUCAAGCAUCUGUGUCGUUAUUAGAUAUUUUGUUUUGGUGCAAUACUGAGUGUAUACAUUUGAUGACUGGGUAUAAUCUCUCUAGACCGUCACAAAAACAACGGUAGAUGCCACUACUCAACUUGUGAGAACCAAUAAAUUCAGGGUGUGCGGGGGAGUUCUAUCAGUUCUCACGUUUUCUCCCCAUUUCAAAAGAGAAUCAGUACUCUCUCUCUCUCUCUCUCUCUCUCUCUCUGAGCAAUGGCAUUCUCCUCAGUACUCUCUGCAGUCCCAAGAAGGUUAGCAGAACAUGCUUAAUCAAUCAAGGUUUUUUAGUUUUCAGUUUGUGCCUCUGUUCGUGUACCUUUUUCUAGUUAAUCAGUUUCUAACUUUCUAUGAUUAAUCAAGUUUUACUUUUUUCGCUAAUUAAACUUACGAACUGCAACCUCUCUUGAGUCUUGACUCAUCCUAGCUAUCUACCAAAUUAUCAAACAAAACUUUUCUCAUGAUAGAAUGAAGCUAGUUUCCUCAACAUGCUGAUUGCUGACCCAGCUUUGCAAAUGUGUACUCAAAAUAAAAUGGCUUCACAAAAAUACAAGUUCAUGGUGCCUAUCCUCUAAUGGAAAAUGAUUUCCAUCCUCUUAUUUUCUCCUAUUGCACAUCUUUAUUUGUUUAUCUCUCUUGAUUCUUCUUUGAUUUAUUCAAUCUAAUGACUAAAAAUAGAGAAGAGUAAUCAUUUCAUUUACUUAAUUUGUCCAAGCUAGAGAUUUAUGCGUAGACGCUAAUUAAGCCGGCUAAGGCAAAUCUUUGAUUCCUCCACUAUUUGGUUGACGAGCCACUGAGAACAUGAUUCAAUUUGGUCAUUGGAAACAAUCACUACAAGAAAAGUGAGCAACAACAGUCCUAAUUUAUUAGUAACCAUUUAGGUAACUUUUGUUGUUGAGGUAACAACGAUGUUCAAAGGAAAUAAAGGUGUAAAAAAUAAGAAAAAAAAGUAGGUAAUAGUUACGUCUCAAAGGCGGCAAACACAUUAAUUUUGUUUCGUCACUAUUUUCUCAUUGGCAACAUCGUUGUUACCCAAACAACAUCUACAAAAAGAGUUACUAAUUAGGGUAAGUUUUUACUCACUUUUCUUAUAGUGAAAGUGCUCAUUCCUCCUAAUUAUUGCAUCAUCUGUUUAUGUACAUUAUGAGAACACCGAUGUGUAUAUUAAUAAAUUAAUAAUAUGAUGCUUUGAAAGAACCUCAUUAGAUACAUGUAAUGCUGGAAGGAAGAUUCGAACUUGUGUGCACAUAAAAGAGAACGUUAUUCUAACUAGCCAACUUGUCUAAACUCAGGUCUGCUAAUGUAGUUCAUUAUUGAGAUUCCGCUAAAACCAGCUUUACGGAUAAGCAAAUGUGUUUCAUAACCUUGCAAUUUAUACAAAUUAUAAAAAAAUUAUGUGAUGACGAAAUGUAGAUCACCGUCAAUCUAAAACUCUGUAAAUUGCAAAUCCUACUGUUUAGAUAAUAUGCAUGUUGAAAUUUUCAGAAGUAAUUAUUAUUUUGUAACUGAAUGCAGGUUGGAGGGAAAGGUGGCUCUGAUAACCGGAGGAGCCAGCGGCAUUGGAGAAUGCACAGCCAAAAUCUUUGUCCAGCAUGGGGCCAAAGUCGUCAUUGCAGAUGUCCAAGAUGAUCUGGGCCAUUCAGUUCGCGAGUCCAUCGGGCCAUCGGACUGCACGUUCGUCCACUGUGAUGUCACAGACGAAUCCCAAAUAAAAGAUGCCGUACACAAAGCCGUUGCCACGUAUGGAAAACUAGACAUCAUGUUCAACAACGCAGGCAUAGUUGACCCAAACAAAGCCCGAAUCAUCGACAAUGAAAAGGCAGAUUUCGAGCGCGUGCUUAGCAUAAAUGUCACCGGAGUUUUCCUCGGCAUAAAGCAUGCUGCCCAAGCCAUGAUUCCUGCGCGGACGGGCAGCAUAAUUUCAACUGCUAGUAUAAGUUCAUAUGUUGGUGGUGCAGCCUCACAUGCAUAUUGUUGUUCCAAGCAUGCAGUUAAUGGCUUGACAAAAAAUGCAGCCGUUGAGUUAGGUCAGUUCGGGAUCCGAGUGAACUGCUUGUCGCCGUAUGCGCUCGCAACGCCGUUGGCUCGGACUUUUGUGGGGGUUGACGAUGAGGAGCUUGAGAAUGUGAUGGGAUCUCUAGCCAACUUGAAGGGCGUGACACUUAAGGCAGUGGAUGUGGCAAAUGCAGCUCUAUAUUUGGCAAGUGAUGAGGCUAGGUAUAUUAGUGGGCAUAAUCUCUUGAUAGAUGGGGGUUUCAGCAUCCUUAAUCCCUCUUUCAAAAUGUUUCAGUACCCUCAAGAGCCUUGAACUUUUUUGUUUUUGGUUCUUCAAAAAAGGGAUUAGUUGAUGACUUCGUCAUGGCAGUUUAUCCUCCAAAGCUUUGAUCCGUUCAGUUGCUAUAGAUUUUUUUUCUUUCUUUUUACACGUUUGAGUUGAAUUACUUUUAAUUGUUAUAAGUUUAUCCUUAAAAAAAAAAAAAAAAAGGUGGGGGGUUUUAAGUACCCCUAUCGGAGUAGAAAUAUUCGGGUCUUCCAAUAAGCAAUCUUGUAAUUGUGCGUUUUAGAAGGUUGUACAUCAUCUUCGUUUGCUACGAGUUUGAGUGAAGAAGAGUGAUGAAAGAGACUUCCACGUUCAAGUUAUUUUUUGAUAUCUAUGUACAUUUCCUAAUAUUUGAUUGUUAUUGUGAUCCCUAUAUUUUGAAGUUGAUUUUUUUUUUUUAACAAACGAUAUUAUCUACACUAAGGGGAAAGGGGUGAGCUUAACCUCACAAUAGGCUGACAUGUAAUAAUGUGGCUGAAAUUCACCUUUGGUGAGAAUCGAACCUAAAACAUCUCACUUACAAAUGAAGAGGAAUACUACUAGACUGUAGUAUUAAGUGGUUAAUCUUUAUAUUUUAUCCCAUCAACAAUUUUUGUCCCUUGUAACUACUUUGACAUUACUUUGUCGUGUUAGCAUAGUGUGUCAUUUGUAUACAUUAACCCAAAUUGAACUGAAAGAAUCAAAAUUGUUAAUACAUUAAAACACAGGAAUCAAAUUGACCAAAUUUAAAAUAUAGGAAUAAGAAAUCAAAUCAACCGUAUUAUCGUCACCAUCACAAUCACUAUUACUUUGUUGUGACCAUCACCAGUACCAUCAUCCCUACCAUCACCACUAUCUUGCCACCGUCAUUAGAAACAUAAUCACCACCACCGCCACCACCAUCUUCCCACUACCUACCUCUAAUACCGCCACCAAUAUUACACAUGAUGACCCACCACUAUUUAAAAAAAUUAAAACUUUGAAACUAGUGGAAAUGCCCAUUUUAGCAGCCGAUUAAAAAAAAUUGACAUCUAUGCAAAUCUAUUAAAAAUCAUAUUAAGUCUCACAAACUCUCUCAAAUUCCAUAUUAAGAUCCAAAUAAAAGUUACUCAAUGCCCGUGUAACCAUGCUUCUUGUGCAGUGUUUCUGGAGUGACAUGAAUCCAUCCUUUAACUUCACUAGGCUUGAUUGGCAUGGUUUUGGAUUAUGCCCCCAACAAUUGAGGUGAAGAUGUUGAAUUGAAUGAGCCAAAAGUGACGAUGGUAUAGUUUGAUUCCACCACAUCAUCAAGACCUAAGUCCAUGACUUCUUCUUGGGCCAACUUCAUGAUGAGAUCUUUCAACAUGAAGCACAUUUCAACCGAAUGACUGAUGACGCGGUGGUACUUACAUUAUCUUGGGUUGUCGGUGAUUCAUCUCUUUCGGCCGUUUGCACUCGGGUAAAUCGAUCAUUUUUUUGUCGAGCAAGUCCUCUAACAUGGAAACCACAUCGAAGUCGGGGAAUUGAUAAGUAUUCUCCUCAAGCUCCUUUAAAGCGCGUUUACGCCUCUCUUGGUCACAAAAAGCUUUGGUCCACUUCAUCUUGUCUCGUGUAGAGAUUUUAACGGGAGUUGUGUUGACCAACAUCGCUUCCUUGACAGGCUCCCUCACAGAUUUGUCCAUUUUUUGCCCAAAGAAUUUGUCUUUUCUGUAGUUAGCAAUCGGGUCUUUCUUCCCAUGAUGUGUGAUGCUUAACUCCAUGUCAUGGGUGCGAGUAGCUAACUCUUCGAAAGUCUAGGGCUUGAUACCUUAAAUAAUGUAAUGCAAGCCCUAAUGCAUGCCUUGUAAGCAUAUCUCAAUCAAGGAGAUUUUCGAGAGUCUGUCUUUGCAGUCGAGACUUAGAGUGCGCCAUCUAUUGAUGUAGUCAACGACUGGCUCGUCCUUCUAUUGCUUUGUACCUAUGAGCUCCAUCAUGCUGACGGUGCGACGUGUGUUGUAAAAGCAGUUUAAGAACUCUCGCUCCAAUUGUUCUUAAUUGUUAAUAGACUCGAGCUUUAGGUUAGUGUACCAAUUAAAAGCAUUCUCCUUUAGAGAACGGACAAACUGCUUUGCGAAGUAGUCUCCUUCAGUUCCUGCAUUGUUGCAAGUCUUGACAAAAUAGGCGACGUGCUACUUUGGGUUCCAUUUUCUAUCGAAUUGGAUGAACUUAGGUGGCUGGUACCCCAUUGACAUCCGUAAGUCAUCAAUCCGCCUGGUAUAUGGCUUCGAAUACAACAGUGUAUCCUGCGAAGUACCUCUUACAUGUGCUUUGAUGGUGUUCGCAAUCAUGCCUUGGAGCUGUUGGUAGGAAAAAUAGCCCAUCGAUAUAGCUUCAGUCUCUAGCUUUUGCUUGUUUCUGGCCUUGUUUGCAUGACGCUUAUCUUCCUUGCCAGACUCCUGGUCAUUUUAAUUUUUCCUUGGGUCUGGACCGACUAUUUCAUCAUGUUGCGCCUCCAACUUAUCCAUAAGCGUAACAAUCUGCAAGUUUUUUUCUUCGAUAGUUCUGGUCAACCUUACGAUCGUCUCAUUCAUCUAAGCCAGUUGUUCUUCAAUGGAGGUGGGGCUAGUGGCUAUGACUUGCGCAACCAAAGGAUGUGACUCUCAUCCACACAUCAAAUGUGAUGGCGAAGUCUCCGUGCGACGGUUACUGGUUGGUGAUCAGCGGUAGGCUCUCGUGCUUGAGUCUGCGUCUGAAGUUAGUAACAAUAAGUGCUCACAUGAACCUUCUGACACUAGCAAACCUUACUUGCCGCUCUGAGGUGUCUUCGUGUGUGCCACAAUAGCAUUCUUCGGUGGGCCCAACGAGGCAUAGCUAAUGUCGGGUUCGCACAUCUAACGCUCCCCUUGCUCCCUUAACGACACCAACUUUGAAGUGGCAUGUUGAAGAGUGGUAACCCGCCCUUGCCUUGCUUCGAGUUAUGAUGCCAAUAGAUUUUUCACUUGCGAUAGAAGUGUUGGCGCUUCUUCCCUUGGUUGCGAGAACGACUUUUCUUUUAUUUGAUGCCAUUGAGUUUGGAGUGUGCUUGGAUUUCUUGAAUUGAGAAAGAGAUGAGAGCUGGAGAUUAUCCCUUUGGGCGUGCCAAAUUUGUAAACAUGAAUAUCUUGUAGCAAAUGAAACAAGAACUCGUGUACAAAAUAAAUUUGAAUUAAUGUCAAUUUAGGGUUACAAUCUCUUUACAGCUUGAUUGUUUGAUUCGAUAUCCGAAAUGUAAGGUAUGUAGUGUUGUUGAUCAAAUGGUCACGAUGACUUGAUCUUGUAUAAAUAGAUGCCGCAAGGUUUUGGCUCUCGGCAAUGGAGUAACCUACACGUGUAUGGGUGCUUAGUGGUUCUUCACGGGUUUUAUGAAGAAUGCAGACAGCUUUCCGAGUCUUCUUGAAUGUUUGAGUGUUUGGGGGGUUUGAGUGGUUGAGAGCUUUAGAGUUUCAAAGCUUCAGCGUUUGGGCGUGAAUGAUUUUCUGAACCUUUUCCUUUGUCUUGGAGCCUCCUAUUUAUAAACUAUCUAAGUCUUGACUACAGAUGGAUUUGACCUUGAUUUGUGGCUUGGUUAAUUGACGAAAGAACUAGGACUCGAUUUAACUCCAUCAAUUAACAUUUGAUUUAAUUAAAUUAAAAUCAAAUCAUUCAUUUCCGCCAAGUGUUGACAUGUGUCAUUCUUGAUGACUCGUCCGAUUUUGUUGAGUCACACACCACAUGUGUACAAUUUUGUGCAAAACGUGGCGUAUACGACGUAUGCCCUGGCACGUCGAAGCUUUAAUGCAUUGGUGAACACUUAUUUCAUCGAAAUUUUGAUGUCUACAUAUAUAUAUAUAUAUAUUAAUUUCAGUAAAAAAGUAUUCUACAAUGAGAGAGAAAGUCAAUCCUUCCAUAUUCAUUGGUGAAGUCACCUACAAGACUCACGUGGGUUGUAGCCCAAGGAGGUUUUCUGUAAAGGUAGUGUUAUCCAUACACUCAUUUUUACUUCUCACACAUCCCUCUCAAUUUUCGGCUAUCUGAUCAAAUGAAUUGAAGAUGAUCAAUAAAAAAAUUUAAUAAGGGUCUGUAGGAGGUAAAAUGAGUGUGUGAAUAACACUAUUUAAUACAUGUCAUUAUUUAAUGUAUAUAAAGCAGAGGAUAGGUAAUAAAUAAUACGUUUUAUGCUAAAAUUAUAAAUUAGUUCCAUCUCUCGUCCCCCUUUAUCCUAUUCGUAAAAGAAAAAGAUCAUUUAUCCUACGUGAUUUAGCCUUUGUGCUUCUUAUUCAAGAAAAUAAAAAUAAUAUUUUUUUUAAAUCCACAAUUAGACCCCUAUCUCUGCAUUUUCUUACUUUCCUUUGCGAUUUUCUAAUGAAUGUCACAUUUGGUAUACUCUUAAUCUCUUUAUUUACUUAUUCUUGAUUUAAUUUGUAGGCAAACUAUUUAUAUGGUCUUUGAAUUUAUCAGUUAGGGUUAUGAUUUUGAGAAUAGUUUAUAUUAUGUGUUGUUCUUUUAUAUUGAUUAUUAUAUAAUUUUAUAUUAGCAAAUAUAAUUUUAUGAUAUUAAUUUCAGCUAGCCCACCCAAGCAAAAAAAAUCAUGGCUCCGCCUUUGCAUAUUCAUGCUUAGGGAUUUGGAUCCCACCCGGAUCUAAAUGUGAGGAUCCUAGGGAUUCUCACAUCUUAACUAUUCAUCGUGCGGAUAGAAAUCAUUUGAUUUUUUAUUAUUUAAAAUUAAACACAAAUAGUACCUAACGAAAAUUGACCGUAUGAUGUACAAUGAACAACUAGAAUGUGGGGAUCCUAGGGAUUCCCACAAAGUGAAUCCAGAGAGGAUCCUCCUCCCAUGCUUAGUACUUUCUCUAGUUAAUGCAUUAAUAUACAUAAUUACCAUAUUACCCAUUUUAUUAAUUGAAUAAUCAAAUUUGCUUUAUAAAGAGGGACAUGCUUGUCUUUUCACCAUCUGGUUGAUAAGAUUUCCUUGAUAGCAUUCUCUCACAAAUUAUCUAACUAGAGAAAGGUCAUGUUGAAAAGUUUAAAUUGGUACGGAAAGGUCUUGUUGAAGAGUUUAAAGUUGUCCUAAUUAGUUUGGAAUUGAAACUUUAAGUAAAUGUUGAUACUUAAUUAGCACUCAUAGUUAGAUUAGAAUUGUGUGUAAGUUUCCCACAUAUAAAUACUUAGUAUUCAUAUUUUUGUACUUCUCCGAUGCGAGACUCUAUGACAAUCAAAUAUUUACUCUUCUUGGCUAGCAAACUUUACUUCUGAUAGAAACGAAGCAAAUGUAUCUAGAGAAAAAUUGGCUUCACAUAAAUAUAGGAGUUUCGUUCGUGCCUAUUUCUUAAUGAAAAAGAAUUUCUACGCUCUUGUUUUCUGCUUUUGCAGUCCAUUUGUUUAUAUCCCUUAAUCUCCUUUGAUUGAAGUAAUGGAUAAAAGAAAAAGGGCAAAAAAAAAAAGGGAAAAGAUGAGCGCACAAGGAGGAAAAAAGCAGAAAUCAUUUCCUUCCUUAUUUGUUCAAGCUAGAGAUUUAUAUAUAGAAGCCGAGGCUUCUUAUUAAUUAGGCCAUGGCUACAUUUGAAAAAUCACUUGAGAACAUGAUUCAAUUUGGUCAUAGGAAACGACGGCGUUCAUUCAUCCUAAUAAUUGAAUAAUCUGCUACAUUAUGUGACAAUUGUGUGUAAAAUAAUAAUGAUGCGAAGAAGGAACUCCAUGAACUACAUAACACAAAGAUGUUUGAACUUGAACGCAUAAGAGGAGCAAAUUGUUCCAAUGAAGCCAAGAUUUACUAAUGCAUGCAGUUGAUGAAUGUGAUCUUGGGAACAAUAUCGGCAAUAUUGGUGGUGAAUCAGGUUAGGCUUAUAAAGCUUAUCAUAGUAAAUGCUAUUCUUUCUACACAUCUUGGACUUGAGUUACUGGGCUUGAAUCUGCUUCCUUAAAUUGGGUUUUUGAAAAGUUUCACUAUCUCCAGCUUAAAGUAUUGGUUGAACGAUUGGGUAUUCCAAAAGAUUGACAUUGGCUCCAAUGACUAGGGCUGGGUUCGGUUUUUUGCCAAAACCGAAACCAAACCGAAAUUUCGGUUCGGUUCGGUUCGGCCCAAAUUUUUUUCGGUUUUUUUUCGGUUCGGUUUCGGUUUUUUUCGGUUUUUUUUUUUUUUUUUUUCCUCCAAAAAAUGCAAAACAACCACAACAUUACUUGAGUUAUAUGCCAAGCAUCCAUUUCUUUAUUUGGUUCACAGUGCCUAGUAUUUGGGUCAUUGUUCAAAGUAGCCUUUCCUUUAUGGAAAACAAAUACAAAGCCAUUUCCAUGCAAACAAAUCCCAUGAAAUGGAUUUUAAUUAUAAAACAGAUUAGACUUUAGAACCAACUAAAUUGUAAAUUGUGGUUUAUGAAAACAAUGAAAUUAAAGAAGCUCAACUCCCUACAUGAUACAAUAUUACAAUUACAAUCACACACCUUUUCUUGUUGGAUUUGUGACCAAGUGGACAACAAGCCAAAAUACCUUUCGGCUAAUAAAAUAGAAAAAAGGAAAAGGGAGACAUCAUUAUGAUGUCUAGCCCUUGAUUUGUGGCUUUUACAAAAGCAAAGAAAGGUGGCCUUUUGUUUAUAUUAAGGCAUUUGGUUAUGCAUUUGGAAAAGAGAGAGUGGGAACGGCAGAUUAGAGAGAAGAAAGAGAAGGGUUGCUGUUAUCUAUCCUUCCCAUUUUGUUUGUAAUCCCCUUUUGUUAGUAAUCACUCAAUCAAAGAUAUUUGUGCUACAUUUUGUGGCUUUUGGGAGAGAAGGAAUUUGGUAUAUGUUUCAUCUUCUCCAUUUGUUCUUUGUGAGAGUGAGAGUUAUUGGGUGUAUGUGAGAUUUGGGUUUGAGAGUUAAAACUCUAUUUGUAAUCUCCUUUUGAUAUUAGUGGAAUUUCCUCGCCGUCUCGGAACUGGACGUAGGCUUACGCCGAACCAGUAUAAAUCCUUGUGUCUUUUGGAUUAUUUGUCUUGUCAUAUUUUGCCGUUGUAGUUUAUUGGUUUCAUAUUUGACGCUUCCGCACAACAUUUCUUCUCUCUCUCUCAAUUAGCUUUAGGUAAAUACAUUUGUACUUAGCUCUAUAAUCUUCCUUUCCCACAAUUACAUGCAAGUAGGACGAUGACUUAGAUGGAACGAGUUCAUAGUCAUUAGUGAUUUGGAACAUUAUAGUGUUGAUGCAAUUGUUCCAUGAAAGUCUCUCUUCAUGUAUAUAAUAAAACACAAAAAAAAGUUGACCACCUAAAUUGAGAUUAACACUAAUUAGUAAUUAUCAUCAGCAUACUUAUUAAUUAAUUAACUCCACCAAGAAAAGCACCUGCCCUUGACACGAGAGUAGUCACCUCUCGACUGAAGCUCCACCGUUACCACCACCACUUGAACCACCACUCUUCCUACCACCACUCUUCCUACCACCACCGUUACCACCACCACCUGACAAAACAUGAACACAACAUGCAAGCACUUGAACACAAAAUGAUCGCAAUCAAUUCAACAAUCCCUACAAACCAUUUAAGUACAACCGCAGACUGGAGCCAAUAUGAUAGCGGGUCAUAUAUGUUGACGGAACCACCGAAAUUGAAAAAAAAAAUCUGCAAAACGCAUCAUGGGGUGAGAGACUAACCUUGCAAAUGAGGGAAUUUGUUGUGGGUCGAGACUUGAGCCUUGAAACGGCGAGAGGAAGUAGUGGUCGCAGGGGUGACAGAUUCAGAUUGAGAGUGAGACGGCGACGGCGAGUGAGAGGGAUAAGAGAAAGGUCGCUCUGAGACGACGAUGGCGAGUGAGAGACAGGUCGUUGAGAUGGUGAGAGAGAUUUGGAAUGACACCGUUCAAGAGAGAAACAAAAUCUAUACAAAAUCUGCAAAACCCAUGAAAUUAAAAACAAAAUCUAUACAACAUGAGAGAAAUUACCGUGCAAAGGAAGGAGGUCGUGGGUCGAGACUCGAAAAGGCGAGAGGAAGUCGCGGGUCACGGGGGGUGAGAGAUUGAGAGUGAGACGGCGAGUCGGCGACACUUGCAAAUCGACGAGAUGUGAGACGGGUUGCAGGUCGCUGGGAGUGGGAAGGAAGAAGACGAAGAGCGGCGGAGCUGGGAGUGGGAAGGAGGGGAUUCAGUCGUCCAGAAGACGAAGCUAGGGUUAAAGGGUUUUGUUGCAGGUUGCUGGGAGUGGGAAGGAAGAAGACGAAGAGCGGCGAAACUAGGAGUGGGAAUGAAAAAUUGAAGAGGUUCAACUAGUGGCUAGGGUUAAAGCGUUGAUUUCUCAUAAAAAAUAAAAAGAUUCUCCGAAAUGGAGGCAUAAGGGUUCGAACCCAUGGCCCUAAGCUUCUAAAGUUUCCCUGAAACCAACUUGGCAACGAGUUCUAUUUUGUUAGGAUUGUAUGACUAAACUAUUUAUAGAUAUUGAACAAAAUAAUUAAAUAUUUAUAUCGGUUCGG